UUUUUUUUUUUUUUUUUGCAACAACAUUAAAAAUAACAGAAAUAAAUAACAAAAAACACUUUAAUUAAUAUUGGAUGAAAACUAAACUAGAAACAACGAAAAAUGCAAUUUCCAAAUUCCUUUUUUUCAUUUUCCAUUUUCAUCGUUUUUUUUCGUUUUUUUUCAUUUUUUCCAAGAAAGCAAAGAAUAAAACAAAAAUGAUUAAAACAUAUAUAUUUUUUGAAUGUUUUCCUUUUCCCCUUUUUUCUAAAAACUCUAUGCUAAUCUUAAACUUAAAAACUAAAACUAAAAACUAAAACUAAAAGUAAAUAAAAAUAAAUAGCAAAAGAAAUAGGUCAACUAAAAGGGCAAAAAUGAAUAAAACUAAAAUAUCAUAACAACUAAUAGUGCAAAACACACAAUAACGAACUAAAAUGCAAGCAAUCUAAAAUAAAAAUCAUGAAAUAGAUGCUACAUAAAAUUAUUCAAAAUUUGGUGUCUACAGCAUGUAUAUCUUACAUAUAUAAAGCACGAAUCGCUUGUGAACAGUGCAGAAUGGAUCGGUUAUGCCGUUAUUUUUGUGAGCUUGAGGGGUUUUUUGGUCUUUUGCUGAUGGGUGGCAGUAGCUCUGCUGGCAUUUUGCUUCUGUCCGCUGGCUCUCUUGGAGUGGUGAGUGGACCGGUUAUCCAGUAAUUUUCACCAACUUGAGGGCAUUUGGUAUUGUUGGUGGGGCAAGAAAACGUUUACUUUCCUUCUUCAGGUGUGGUUUCCUUUUGCGAACAAAAUUCGUAAAUAUCAGGCUGGCUUCUGGUUAACUGUCCGAUUGUAUGAAACAUAUUACGUUCAAAUUAGCACCAUCAAAUUAAAAUUAACUCCUCUUACUAACAAAAAAAAUUAAAUUAACUUCGCUUGCGAAGUCUAUUGCAUGGAAAUUAAGACCGCUUCACAAAUUAAGAUCAGUGGUAAGUGGGCGAUGUAACCUUGCACUUUGCUGCAAGCUGCUGCCCGGUUGUUUCUUUAGUUAAAAUAGUUAGAGGGUCUUCCUGUUUUGAAAAAAUAUAUACAUAAGGGUCCCAUGUAAACAUUUUUUUUUUUUUUUUGCAAAAGGAUAAACUUUCUUCAUAAAAAAGUAUAAUUUAACAAAUGGAUUAUAGUUUUUGAACUUUUACAGUAGACCCAACUUUUUUCUUUUCGGACAUGAAAAAAUGAUUCAAUAAAUACAUAUUUUCUAACCUUAAACACGAGUUUAUUACCCCAUUUGGUAGAAUAGUUCCACCAGUUAUUUCUUAGCAUUUUAUUCUAACUUAUCCUUAAACACAAGUUGAUUUGGAAUUCACCAUUUAAAGUUUUCAACUAUCUCUUGAUUUUGAAUACCACUUUUAUUUAAAAAGAAAAAUAAAAGAGAAACUCACCUAUUUUAGCACAUGAUUUAAGAACACAAAAUAACCUAUAAUUUUGCAGCUUAUGAUACAGAUUACCAAAAAAAAAAUCAUCAACCAAGUAAGAGAAAGAAACAUCAAAUAAGUAAGAAUUAUAAAUCCAAAGAACCUAGAAAGUAGAAAAGAAAAAUUUUAAGUUCAAAAAAUUAUUAGAUAUUGUAUAUAUCUAAGCCAUUAUCUUAGUGAAAAUUCAAAGAGGUUCUUCCAUGCUCUUCGUACUCACCACAUAAAGUGUUGCCUCCCAUACAAAUUAUCAAAACCAAAAUCAUCAAAAUCUCCAAAAAAAAAUAAAAUAAAGAGAGAUAGACAGCCUAAAAAAAGAAAGAACGAAAGAAAAAUAAGAAAAUAUGCAUAUUCACCCUUGCAAGUUAAAAUUGUUCAAUAUUGAGAGUCCAGAUUCAUUUUCAAUAAAUGAUGUCCUGUCCAAAGAAACCAUUGUUGCUCCCGCCAUUCUUGAACACUUUUAAUCUAUCAAUCAAACAAUCAUCUGAAUUGCAACAAAAAGAAUAGGAUCCAAUAUGAAAUCCUGAUUAGGAGACAUGUAUAGCCAUAUGCCUUUUAGUUCUACCUAAUUUUAGGCAUUACUUACUGAUUAAUGCUACAUUAAGAAUGUUAAACAAUCAUGCCUUUUAGAUUUGCUUAAUUUUAGGCAUUACUUACUGAUUAAUGCUAUAUUAAGAAUGUAAGAUAACCUGAUUUUAAAGUCAUGUUUAUUUGUGUAAUUAGGAAAAAACACACACUCACACACAUGUGACAUGACUACUAUAUCUAACAAAGAAAAAAAAACACAAAUAUAACAGCAAAAUAAUGAAUCUCAGCUACCUGACGCCUGGCGUCAGGGCUUAAAAACUAGUAUAACAUACAAUCAGUAUACUAACUUGGAAAUUGCUACCAGUUAGUGUGGCAAAAACUAUUAUAUGCUAGUAUAAAUGUACUUGAAAGGACAUAAAUUAUGGCAAAUGUACUUGUAACUCAAAUCAAAAGGACCUAGUCAAGGAGCAACCAUGUGAACUUUAAUAUGGUUUUUGCCACUGUUCAACUUAUAAACUCAAUUUUGACUUGCUAAUUUACAUAUCCUCGUGUACUUUCGCAUACUAUAUAUAGCCAAACACCUUUAGCGGGAAUAGAAAAAAAAACUCGGAAUUCAACUUAGUCUCUAGCCUUUUUCCCUUCCACAUUGUUGAUUGACUAAUCGUCAAGACAGAGAGUUAAAAAGAGUACUUGGAGGUGCAUAUCCAUGUGUACCAACGAAUGAAGUCAGAUUGGAGGAGUCAAGGCUCAGGAAUCUUGCCGUGCCAAAGUCCGAAAUAUGAGCAUUUUCUUGAGAAUCUAACGAAACAUUCUUGCUUGAUAUGUCCCUGCGAACCAUUGGAGGUGAAAAAUCAUGGUGCAUAUAGCAUAAGCCUUUUGCAACAUCUUUCACAAUAUUAACCCUUUUGGACCAUGGAAGUUUCAAUGCUUUUUCAUCAGUUUCCAACAUGUUAUAAAGGCUUCCCCCUUCUAGGAACUCAUACGCCAAGAAUGAGUGUCUUGAAUGACUGCAAAAACCAUACAGCUUCAUAAUGCUGCGAUGUCGUAAUUUUGUUUAAUGCAUCAAUUUCAUUGCUAAAGCUUUUUGCAACGUUGAAUGCACCACUUUCUAGUGCAUGAAUCUUCUUCACUGCAACAGUCUUCCCAUCUGGCAAUUCUGCCUUGUAAACACUUCCAUGCCCCCCGCGUCCAAUGCAAUGGUUUGGACUAAGGUCCUCUGUUGCUUCAAUAAUGUUUUGAUAUGCCAUCUUCCCAUCAAAGCUCGAAAUGGAUAACAAAUUUUGUAUAGAUCCUGAAGGCUUAUUUUCCAUGAUUUUUUUACAAGAAUUCAGACGGAAGAAAAUGCCAACAACAGUCAUGAUCAGAAAAAUCAUAGCUGCCACUAUAGCAAGAAUAACCAAAAGAAGUUUCCUUUUGCUUCUGCUCCUCCUAGAAUCCUCCUUUUUCCUUGGUGAAAGGCAUGGAUUUAAUCUAAAAGUCUUAGCACAUAAAGUUUUAUUGUUUCUUAAGGCUCCAAAAGAAGCCUUUUGAAACUCUGGAAUGUUGGGAAGAGGACCCUCUACUUGGUAGUAGGACAUAUAGGUAGAGAUCAAACUAAAACACAUCAAAGCUUGAGGGGAUUGGUUCCUGAUGUCUCAUUGUGUGAAAGAUUCAUCUUCUCUAUGCUUGGCAACCAUCCAAACUGUUCUGGUAUUUUACCAAUCAGCAUGUUAUUACUCAGAUCAACAGUUUCUAAGGGAGGUAUAAAGCCUAGUUGAGAAGGAAUACUUCCUCUAAGCUUUUUUUGACUUAAAUUCAAGUCCCCUAGUUGCAUACAAUCUCUCAACUGCUCCGGAAUUUUGCCGGUAAGAUCAUUGGUUGACAAGCUAAGUUUGGCAAGUCGAGAAAACUUGCCAAUUUCUAAGGGAAUGUUGCCUGAAAGAUUGUUCUCAUUCAACUUAAGCUCUAGCAUUAAAGUCAAAUUGCCCAAACUUCUCGGAAUCCCCCCAAAUAAUUGAUUUGAAGAAAGAUCAAGUCUCUGAAGUUGAAAUACCUCUCCAAGCUCAGUUGUUAUUUUGCCAGUAAUGUUGCUGCCGGAAAUCUUUAAGCUUGUUAACUUUUUGAAGUUACUCCAGUUUGAAGGAAAUUUGCCAUAAAACUCAUUGUAGCUUAAGUCAAUGUAAUCAGAAUUUGGAUAUAUCCCAAAAUCUUCUGAUUGACUUCCAACAAAUUUAUUUCUUUCAAUUCGGGUCCUUUGCAAACUAGUGCAGUUUCUCAAGCUUUUGAGAAUGUUCAUAUAUUUUUGUGUAAAUGACCAUGAAGAUUGUAAUUACCCAGUGACAACACUAGUUUGUUCGAGGACAAACUCGCCUUGGUAAGGGAAUGCAACUGUCCCAUUUCUGAGUUUCAAAACUGUGAGUCUAGUCAAGUUGCCAAUAGAAGAAGGAAUAAAACCAGAGAGCUCAUUUUCAUGAAGAUACAGCAUUUCUAGAAGCCUUAAGUUUCCAGCAGAGGAAGGAAUUGAACCUUUGAGCUCAUUACAUCCUAGAUCAAGAAAAACCACAUUCUUUAGAAACCCAAACUCCCCCAGAAUUGAGCCAUUUAUAUGGUUGAUUCUAAUGCUAAAUAUCUAACAUUUAUCAAUUUCCCUGUUUCAGUUGGAAUUUCUCCAGACAGAUGAUUAUUUAAGAAAUUAAGUUACCGGAGCAUAGAAAGGCUACCGAUGUUGGAAGGAAUAGUCCCGUGAAAUGAAUUGUUUAUAAGGUUAAAGUCCAUGAGAUAGGGAAAGCAUGAAAAAUUGAGACUCUGAAGCUCACCAGUUAUACCACAAUUUGCAAUAUGUUUGGUUUCAACUCUUCCAGCUUUGUUGCAUUCAAUUCCAGGCCAAUUGCAAUGGUUGCUACCAGCUCAUGAUGAUAGGCAUGACUGAUUUUUUCAUCGAAGCUGGAUUUCCAUGCCGCAAGAGCUGCUAUUUAAUUUCUAACUUCUGCAAUUUCUUCUGCAUUUAUGUGAAAACAUUCAUGCAAUGAGAGGACAGAAGAUGCAUCCAAAUACCAAUUUCAAAAAGAAGUUCAUUGGCUGUUAGGUAGAUUUAUAGAUGUGAAGAAGCUUAAUUUAGUUUAGUUCUGGAGGGCUUUAAUGCAAUGAGAAGCCUAUUUCUACAUCCGGAAGAUUUCUUAGUAUUAGUCUGAUGCAUUCUCAUCGCGUUUUAUUGUAAAAUUUUUUAUGCUCAAAACGAAAAUUCUAAAAGGCUAUUUUGUAAGUUUCAAACUAUUUGAAAACCAGUAUAACUACAACAUAACAGGUAUAUAGUUAAUAUCUACUAAUUGAAUAUACAAUAUAAUUGAUAGUAUUUAAAAAAGCCAUGAAUAUACUAGUUAGUGAGAAAGAUUACAUCAUUAAACAUUAUAUGCAUGAACAUAACUAUUUAGCCAUUUUAUAUUUCUUUUUUUCUUCAUAUAUUUUUAGAAGUGACCAUUCACUCUACUUUAGUGAAAGAGAAAAUUAAAGAUCAUUUACUUUAGUUAUCUUCUAUUAUUUGAUAUCAAUGGGGCACCAUGUAAUUUUUUUUUAAAACUAGCUAGUGAGGAAACAUUAUAAAAUAACUGAUUUUCUCGAAGGACUUUUAGGAAAUUUUGGUGGCUAAUGGGCUCCCAUUUUCAAUCCGCCACUGCCUAACUUGUAGUUAUUGUAGGGAGGCACAAAUAUCUUAAAAUGACCAGGAAAAAAGUGAGUGAGUGAGAAUCAUAAAAUAAAUGGCAAAUUACAUUUUACGCCCUUGUGAUUUAGUAUUUUUUUUUACAUAAUAUCUCUAUGGUUUCAAAAAUUAUACGUAACCCGCUCAUAGUUUGAAUUAAAAUGUCAAAGUGACGGAAAUGAUCAUUCGUAACAGAAUCACCCAAAAUGUUAAAAAUAUCCUUAUGUAAAGUUGAAAAUUAUUUAUUUACCAAGGAGAGUUAUAUGUAUAUUUUGAAAACCAUAAGGGGGUUAUAUGAUAAAGUAUUAAAUUAUAAGGGGGUUAUAUGGUAAAAUAUAAAAUCAUACGGGGUUAGUGUGUCAUGUAUUUAUAAGGGUAAUUUCGAUAUUUUUAAAGAUUUCGUUAUGAAUGAUCAUUUCCGUCACUUUGAUACUUUAAUUCAAAUUAUAAGGAAGUUAUAUAUAGUUUUUGAAACUAUAGGAGGGCCAUGUGAAAAAUCACUAAACUACAAGGGAGUAAAGUGUAAUUUGCCCUAAAAUGAACCUUAUUUAGCGCUGGAUUGCCUUGACCCCUUUGCAUAUUUUUCUCCUCCCAAGCUUUUAUGUAUCCAAGAUCAUCAUCGAACUGGUGUCACUUAUAAAGUGAUAUCCGUUAGGGUGGUUGUCUAAAUUUAACCUUUGGUGAAAAUUAUCACCUAUUAAACUCAAAAUCUAUAUGAUAAUUAUUAAGAAAUAAAUUAACAGAAAAAAUUGCGGAAGCGCAUCUUGAUCCAUGUUGACAAACUUGAUACUUGAAUACCUAGAAAUUUUGGAGUGGCCUUCCAGAUCAGCAAGUAUUCGUCAGUUCUUGAGAGAGUCUUUUAGUUUCUUUUUAGUAUCUUUCCUAAUGAUGAGAUAUCAGAAAAGAGUUAUUUUGUCGGCACUAAAAAAUAUAACAAUAAGAGUACGCGUGAUCUGGGAAUCAUAACCCUAUUUAUAGAUAACAUUCCUGUUACCCUUUGGAUCUCUAUUUCAACCCAUCAUAGAAAUAGGAAAUACCCUUAAAUCUCUAUACAUUAAAACCCCACAUUCUAUUAGAUACAUUAAAUCCAAACCAUAGUGAUCAUUUUAAUUGGACUUAACCUUAUUUGACAGCUUGCAUCACAUAAUUAUUCAUAUGUAAAUCCAAUAUUGGAUUAAGGAUCCAACAAUCUCUCACUUAGAUUACAUGUGUAACGUUAUAAUUAUGUUUUGCAAUAAAUCGUAUAAGCUCAAUUUCGCUAUCAUUAUUAAAAUGUAUCUGUAACCAAUUCGAUCCAUCAAUCACACCAACAUAAGAUUAAAGCGGCUUUUGUUAUAAUUUCGUAACUCGACCCAUCAAUGGUCAUAUAUAUUGAUACAAUUGAAUGACAUGAAUCAUGAUGUGGAUGUGUAGCAUGAAAAUUUCAUGUAAUGUGAUCAUAACAUGCCUAUUUCCAAUUGUUCACUUUAAAUUUCACGAGAUCAAACCAUACUAAAGUCAGAGUGUACAUAAAUCCAAACUUUAUUUAUGUAUAAGAUAUUUUUAAAUCAUUAAUAAUCGAAAAGUAUUACAAGAGUAUUUAAAAUAACAAACUCCCAUUAAAACUGUACAUUAUUUAAUAACAUGACACCUAUACGAGUAGUAUGCUCAUGAAACAUUUUGGGUGGCAAUCCCGUAGUAAAUGGAUCCACAACCAUGGAGUUUAUUCGAUAUGCUCUAUCAAUAACUGUCCACUCUGUACUAUUUCUUUAACAGUCAGGAACUUGAUAUCUAUAUGUUUAGAUUUCGUCGAGAUCCUAUUAUUUUUGGAAUAUAGGACUGCUAACUUAUUGUCACAAAAUAAUUUGAGUGGUCUUUCAAUACUAUCCAUUACAUGAAUCCUGUGACGAAAUUUAGCAGUCAAAUUUCAUGAUUAGUUGUCUCAUAACAAGUUAUAAACUCUACAGCCAUAGUAGAAGAUGCUAUGAGGGACUGUUUAACACUCUUCCAGGAUAUGACAUCUUCAGCCAACAAAUAAAUAUAGCCUGACGUUAAUUUCUUAGUAUUUUGGCAUCCAGCAUAAUCGAAAUUAGUAUAUCCAAUGAUCUCUAACUUAUCUGAUAUCUGAUACGUUAACAUGUAAUCUUUUAUUUUCUGUAAAUAUUGCAAGACUUGUUUGAUUGCUUUCCAAUGAUCUAAUUCAAAAUUACUUAAAUAUCUACCUAACAUUCCAAUAAUGUACACAAUAUUCAGACGCGUACAAAAUUGAGCAUACAUCAAAUUCCCUACCGCUGACGCGUAAGGAAUCUUUUACAUAUCUUUUUUCUCGAAAGCAUUUUUAGGACAUUAUUCAAGAUUAAAUUUGUCUUCUUUAGUUACAGGGUGUUACCUGAUUUAUAAUUUUACAUGUUAUACCUUUUAAGAACCCUUUCGAUAUAAGCUUUUUAUAAUAGUUCUAAAAUAUCUCAAGAGCGAUCCCGUGUAUCUGUACGCCUAACACAAAAGAUGUAUCACCAAAAUCUUUCAUUUCAAAAUUUUUAAUUAGAAAUUUCUUGAUUUCAUGCAAUAAAUCCAUAUUUUUGUUGGCAAAUAAAUUGUGAUCAACAUACAAUACCAGAAAAAUAUACUUGUCCCUACAGAACUUAUGGUAUAUAAAUCACUUGAUGAAAUUUGAAAUACCAUUAUUGAGACGCUUGUUUGAACCCAUAGAUAAAUUUUUUUAAUUUGUAAAUCAUAUUCUUUAGAUCUCUUGAUACAAAAUUUUCUGAUUGCACCAUAUAAAUGGUCUCAUCAAUGUUACCAUUGAUAAACGUUAUCUUUACAUCCACCUAAUGUAACUCAAAAUCGAAAUGCCCCACUAAUGCCAUAAUAAUUCUAAAAGAAUCCUUUGAAGAGAUCAGAGAGAAGAUUUCUUUAUAGUCGAUACCUUCCUUUUAUAUAAAUCUCUUGGCGACAAGACGAAUUUUGUAUCUUUUCACAUUACCUUUCAAAUCUUUUUUAAUUUUAAAUAUCCAUUUACAACCAAUAGAUUUCGUUUUUUCUGGCAAUGGGACAAGAUCCCAAACAUUAUUGUCUUUCAUAGAUUUAAUCUUCUCAUUCAUGGCAUCGAUCCACUUUUGAAAAUUUAAACUUUUCAUAACUUGACGAAAGUUGAUUGGAUCAUUUUCUAUUAAUUCAGUGUCAUCCUCAUGUUCUUGAAGAAAAAUAAUAUAAUCAUCUGACACUGCACUUCUUCUUUUUGUAGUGAAUCUUUUUAAGGGAAUUGGUUCUUGGAGAGAGAGAGUUUGUUCUUUUAUAACAGUUUGUUUUUCGACAUUGUCUUAAUUUGUCAUAUCAUGAUCAAAUUCAGAAAUAAGAUCUUGAACAAGAUCAAUGACACUUGUGAGAAUAAUAAUAUAUUCUUUUUUAAAGACAAUGUUUCUUAUUAUAUUUUCUCCCUUAAAUUCAACAUACUCAAAGAAUCGGUCAUUUCUUAUUUCAAAAAUUGAUUUAGUCGUGAGAUCAUAAAACUUGUAACUCCUAGAUUUUUCAGAGAAAUAAUAACUAACUGUUUUUUAAUCCAGUUUCUUUUCAUUUGGCCUGUAAGACCUUACCUCAACUGGACACCCCCAAACAUGUAAAUGCUUCAAAUUGAAUUUUUUUCCUAUCCAAAACUCAUAAGGGGUUUUGAUAGUUGCUUUAGUUAAAAUUCUGUUAAGGAUAUAUGCUGCAGUCUUAAGUGCUUCUUCUCAGAAUGACUCCGGUAAGAUAGAAUGACAUAUCACACUCCUUACCAUAUCUUUAAGUGUUCUAUUUCGUCUUUCAACUACACCAUUCAUAGUGAAUGAUCCCGACAUAGCGUACUGUGAGACGUUACUGCAUUCUUUUAGGUAUUUAGCAAAUGGUUCUGAACGUUAUUCAAUUGAACCAUCAUAUCUAUCAUAGUAUUCACCACCACGGUCAGAUCUGACACUUUUAAUUCUUUUGUUGAGUUGAUUCUCAACUUCAGCUUUAAAAUUUUUAAGGGUAAAAUACAUAAAACCCCCCUGUGAUUUACCUAUUGUACAUAAAACUUCCUUAUUAUUUAAAAACCCACACAUAACCUCCUUAUACGUUGGAUUUCUUUGGAACUUGGAUGAAAAGCAUCCAAAUUAACGGAGUUUCUGAUACACGAGUGUAUUAAGUGAGUUUCAAGUGACAUUAUCAAGAACAAUUCAGUAUUUUGCAGUAUUUUGUCAUUUCCUUUUUUAUUUCCUUUCCUUUUUUUGGUUUAUUUUCCUUCUCCAUUUCUUCCCUGCUUACUACCAAACUGGUCAAUAACAUCAAAAUGAUCAAUGACACCGGUGAAUACCAAUCAUUAUCAGUACCACCACCGAUCACCAGUAGCUCUACCAUCGCCACCAAUCACCAGCAACUCUACCACCAAUCAUCACUAAUUUCAACGCUCAAUGAUCCCAAAAUAAAAUCAAAAAAUUUUCAAUUAGAUAGAGGGCAAAAUAACAACAAAAUUCUCGGCUAAUUGAUCAGAAUAUAGGUAAAAAAAAAAAACUGUCGGACAACUAUGCAUCUGACAGGGUGGGAGUAUAAAUCUAUGACCUGACACCCCAAUUUAAAAAAAAAAAAUUUUUAAAAAUUGGCAGCCGGCACCUGACAAAAUUUUGUGUCAUUGAGUUAUCAGGUGCCGGCACCUGACAGAUUCAGUUUUUUUUUUUAAAGCUGUGCACCAGACAGCUUUUUAAAGCCAUGCACCCCUCGUCCAUGCAAUUUCCUGUCUUCUGAUUGCUAAGACCCGCCAGAGCUUUUGUAUUUACGUGCUUCUUAGCUGGUGGAAUCUCAGCUUAGCAUCCCGUGGUGCCUAGCUACGGAAAAACAAACAAAAGCUAUCUCAGCUUAGCACCCUGUGGUGGCUAGCUACGGACAGAAACAAAAGCUGCAAUCACGUGGGCUUGCUCCAGCGUCGUGAACUCUGACUGUCUAUAUAAACGAACCAAACUUCACCCUUCACCCCGCACCUCAUUUCUCAUUUCCUUAUUUCUGAGCUCUCCCAAUUCUAUUUGCAUCAUCCCUCUCACUUCUCACUCAGCUUCUCGGCCAAAGUUCCUCCAGAGCCGAAAGACAUUUGUUGUGUUUGCGAUUUGCCUUCCCUAUUGGUGUCUCAGAUUUGCCUUGUCAAGGAUUGUCCCUCUCGGUGUCUCUGGCCAUAGCUUUGUUCGCGGGCAGAAUUGGUGAGCCUAUUGUUAAUGUAUUUUUGCUAAGGCGUUCGUGUUAAUUAAUUACGAUACCGCCGUGCUAAUUAAUUACGGUGCUUUUGUUUAGGUCGCCGUACUGACUACUAACGGUGUUGACAAGACAAUCAAUUUUUUAAAUACAACUAGUUCGAAAGAGGUUAGUGAUCUGUCUUAUAUAAAAAUUGUUAUAACUGUUAUAUUAUGUUACUCAAUUGGUGAUAAAUAUUUUAUAUUGUUGUUAUAUUAUGUUAUUAAUAUUUUUUAUUAAAUAAAUAUUUAAUUUAUUAUAGAAUAGUUGUAUACAAAUAAUGUAAUUUACUUUUUACGUAAGUUAGCUAAUAUUAGUUUAAUAAUAUGGUACAUGCUUAGUUGAAUUAGUUUAGUGAUAAAAUUAGUUUAAGUAGUUUAAUUAGUUGUUUAAAUUUAUUUAAUGGAUGAAUUAAAUUAGUUUAACUGAAAUACAUAAAAUUAGCAUAACUUAAUUAACGAUAUUAGUGUUAUUAGUUUAAUACAAUUUACUUUAUUAUGAAAAUUAGUUGAUAAUUAGUUUAUGUAAUUUAGUAUAUGAUUAGUUUAAUUAGUUUAGUGGAUUAAUUAGUUUAAUUAAGUGUGGAAUUCGUUGAAUUUAAGAGGUUCAAUUAGGGGUGAAUUUAGAUGUAUUCGGCAAGGUUAGUUUAUGUUAUUUAGUAUAUGUUUUUAGUUUAAUUAGUUUAAAUGAAUUUUGAUUAAAUGAAUUAGUUUAUGUUAUUUAGUAUAUGAUUAGUUUAAUUAGUUUAGUGGAUUAAUUAGUUUAAUUAAUUGUGGAAUUCGUUGAAUUUAAGAGGUUCAAUUAGGGGUGAAUUUAGAUGUAUUCGGCAAGGUUAGUUUAUGUUAUUUAGUAUAUGUUAUUAGUUUAAUUAGUUUAAAUGAAUUUUGUUUAAAUGAAUUUAAAUGAAUUAGUUUAUGUUAUUUAGUAUAUGAUUAGUUUAAUUAGCCAAUAGGAUAUAUUAGUUUAAUUAAUUGAAUGAAUUAAUUUUAAGAGGUUCGAUUAAAUGAAUUUAGAUGUACUUGGCGAGGUUAAUUAAUUGAAUGGAUUAAUUGAACGAAUUUGUGCAAUUGAGUUUUGAUUAAGAUAGCCAUUUAGUCGGGGCAAUUUAAGUAAUUGAAAUAAUACCUAUGCUAAUAAAAUAAAUACAUAAAAUUAAUGUAAUUAGCAUAGCAAAAUUUCAUAGCUAGUGAUAUUAGUUUAAUGCUAUUCACUUUAUUUGUUAAGUUAGUUGAUAAUUAGUUUAUGUUAUUUAGUAAACAAUUAUUUUAAUUAGUUUACUGGAUUAAUUAGUUUAAUUAGUUGUGAAAUUAGUUAAAUUAAAGAGGUUCGAUGAAAUGCAUUUAAUUAAGGUGAUGAAUUAGGAUUCUGUUGUUAUUUAUUAAAUAUUCAUUUGUUUAUUAUAAAUGAUUUAAUUAUUUAAUUAUAAUGCAUUAUUUGUUGUUAUUUGUUGUUAUUUAAUUACACUUUAUUUGUUGCUAUUUGUUAUACUGUUUGUUAUUAUUUGUUAUUAUUUAAUUACGCUUUAUUUGCUGUUAUUUGUUAUAUUAUUUGCUGUUAUUUAAUUACACUUGAUUUGUUGUUAUUCGUUAUACUAUUAGUUAUUAUUCGUUAUUAUUUAAUUACACUUUAUUUGUUGUUAUUUGUUAUACUAUUUGUUAUCAUUCGUUAUUAUUUAAUUACACUUUAUUUGUUGUUAUUUGUUAUUAUUUGUUACAGUUAUAGAAUCGCAAUUAUUUAUUAUUUGUUAUUAAAUUAUAUAUAUUUGAUUCAAUUAAAUAAUUAUUCAAAUAAGUAUAUUAAUGGUGUUUUAAAAUGCUAUCAACACUCGUCUCUAAUAGGUAUAACAUGUCAAGUGAUAAUUGUUUGGUGAUUCAAGUAUAUUGGGGAGGAAAAAUUAUAUACGAAGGAGGGUCAAUUUCAUAUGAUCCCCCUAUACCGAAACAAGUAUUGUUCCUUCCAGAGAUGGUAGGUUAUGAUGAUUUGGUAGACCAAAUAUACAAUCUUUUGGGUUUAGAUCGGAAGCGCUAUAAGAUUAGUUUGAUAUAUCGGAGUUGCCUUCCAAAUGGCAAGUUUGGUGCAAUGCCUUUGGUGAAUGACAAUGGAGUUGCCGGACUAUACUACUUACAAUCUGGUAGUAGACUUGCAACCGAAAUAUAUGUGGAGGUUGAGGAGGUCUUUCAUUUACAAGAGGAUGAUUCUCAAAUUUUAGAUGUUGUAAGUGCUAAUGUUGAUAGAGGUGGUAGUAGUUCAGAACACAUAUCUUUAUUCCAGUCAGGCGGCUUUUUUGAGAGUCAAAUGACCCAAUUAGAUGUAGGUGAUGUUCAACCAAGGCAUAAAGGGCGAAGAAGGGGUAAUGGUCGGCGGAGUAAUAAUGAUCCUUCAAGUACAAGUGGUCAACCAAUAGAGCACACCUCAUCAUUUCAAACUCGAUGUACGGAUAUUGAAUCAUCUCCGAUGUUUGAUGCUCUACCAUCUACUGACAUUCAGUUUGUAGAUGUUGACAUGGACUCCGAACCGGAGCCCAAUCUUAGUGGUUCCGAUGAAGAGAACCACCAACAUGAUACCGAUCGACAGGAUGGGUAUUCAAAUCUUCCAACUACGACCCAUGUCAUCAUGGGUCGCAAUGCUCCUUGGAUAACUCGUGAGGGACUGCAACUGCGUUAUGAAGCUGGUGUCGAUGCAGCAUUGAAUUAUGACCCCCUUGAUGUUGGGCGAGUUGAGAAGUUAAAGCUGUGGAAUGAACACACCAAAGAUUUAGAAUUAGGUCAACUGUUCGAAACAAAGGAGCAUGUCAAGAGAGCUGUGAAAUUGUGGUCCAUAAAGGAGAAUAGGGAGUUCAAAGUUCGUGAGAGCACGCCAACAACUUGGUAUGUUCGUUGUCGGGAUCGUAACUCUGUACCCCCGUGUAAUUGGCAGCUUCGUGCAACCCUGCGUAGCUCGCACAACAUGUGGAUGAUUGUCACACUUGCUGAUGCUCAUACAUGCAUCCGUGUCUGUUAUAAUAAUGACCAUCGUGGAUUGAGUAGCGACAUAAUUGCCGAACAUAUUAUUCCCCACAUUAUGAAUGGUCCAAUGUAUAAAAUCAAGGAAAUUCAAACAUCGGUGAAACAGGAGUUUCAUUGCGAUGUGUCUUACAAGAAAGCUUGGUAUGCUAGACGCCGUGCCAUUGAUAUAUUAUAUGGGGAUUGGCCGACAUCCAUAUCACAGUUGCCAACCUACAUUCAGGAGUUACAACGGUCCAAUCCGGGUACGGUAGUUGUGUGGGACCAUCAUCCAUCGAGUACCCCUUCCAAUAUUAUUUUUGAUUAUAUAUUUUGGGCAUUUGCACCUGCCAUCCAAGGCUUUCGCCAUCUGAAACCGGUCAUAUGUGUGGAUGGUACCUUUUUGAAAGGACCUUAUCGAGGAAAAGUUCUUGUCGCCGUAGGUUUUGAUGCUAAUGGUUCAAUGUUUCCCCUGGCAUAUGCUCUAGUUGAUGAGGAGAAUAAUCGGAGUUGGCCUUGGUUCAUGAGACUGUUACGCAUUCACGUGUGUGGUGACAUGCAGAAUAUAUGUAUUAUUUCUGAUCGUCAUCAUGACAUCAUUAAUACAAUGCGUACACUCGAAGAGUGGCAGGAGCCAUUAGGGGUGCACCGAUUCUGUUUGAUUCAUAUUCGGAGCAAUUUCUUACAAAAAUUCAAGAAUGAAAGGUAAAUUGUCGCUUAACCCUUAAAAAUUAAAUAUAUUUUCAUGUUCCACCCAUCAUAGGUUAAUUAAUCCCCUUUUGACGUUAUUUUACGAUGUCUGUUAGGCUUAAAAACUUGAUGUACGGCGCGGGUGUGGCGAAUCAGACACGUAAGUAUGAGAACUUCAUGAAUGUGAUUUUCUCCAUAAAUAUGGAGGCAUAUGCAUGGCUAACGGGUGGAUCAGUUCGACCCGAGCAAUGGGCUCUGUGCAAAGAUGGGGGAUAUCUUGGGGCCACAUAUCCACAAAUAUGAUCGAGUGUUUUAACAAUCUCUUGAGGGACGCUCGGUUGCUGCCAAUUACUGCGUGUAUAAGAUUCACAUUCAAUCAAACUGUUGAUUUGUUCGUGAAGAAUCACAAGGUUGCAUGGGAUGAGGUACACCGUCUCCCACAGAAAUCUUGGGAUAAAUAUGUCAAAAAUGAACAAAAAGGGCAGGCCCAUGCAGUUCAAGUGUUCGAUCAUAGGAGGGGUAUUUACUGCAUCACGACUGCCUAUCGACAAAGCCAUCAAGGAGGUAAUGCGCAAACCGUUGACAUUGGAAAUCGCACGUGCACAUGUGGAAAAUGGAGAGAAUUGCGCUUUCCAUGUUCACAUGCCAUAGCUGCGAGUUUUAGGUGUGGCAUCUCCCCAUUGACGCUUGUCGCUCAUGAACACACAUUUUUCGCUUAUCAAGCUACAUUCAUCGGUAAUUUUGAACCGCUACGGGAUCCAAAAUAUUGGUCUGUAGCGGAAUUACAGCUGAAUAUCAUAGGAGGGAGAUUGAAACAAAAGAUGCCAGGGCCAUUGAGAAAUUCUAGGAUCAGAAAUCAGAUGGAUAGAAGAUGCCCUGAUGCACCACGUCGAUGCAGUAACUGUUUACAGCCGGCUCACACAACCCCUAACUGUCCGUAUGCCGGUUACUUUCAUAAAUAAUGUUGUCCUCUAUUGUUGUAGAAGUGUUUUGGUGUGAACUAAAACCAUAUGAACUCCUAUUUGGUGUAAAACUCUGUCAUUUUAUUGUAAUAAAAUUGCAUUUGAUAUGUUAUCUUGUCGCAAUGAUUUGUUAAUUGUACCACAUAUCUUUCUUUAUGUGAUUUUUGUCUUAAAACAGGAUUUCAAAUGGAGCGAUGGCAUUCGACCACAGCACCCCCCCAUCCAGGACCAUUGGAUGGGAGUGUUUUAUAUUUACAAUCGGAACAUAGGUCCGCUGCGAUUUUUCAAGGGACAAGUGUGGAUUUAGAUGUUCGGCGCUGUGAUAGGAGGUUAUUUCAACCUCUGAUACAUUUGGAUGAUCGGAUUGCUCAAUACAUCGAUGCCGCAGGCUUUUAUGGUAUUUGCAGAACCGGUUACCUCACAGUAGAUCAUGACCUUAUAAAUGUACUUGUGGAACGUUGGAGGCAAGAGACACAUACUUUUCACCUCCCAGUUAUGGGAGAGGCGACAGUAACUCUGCAGGAUGUGGAGGUUUUGUGAGAUUUUCGGGUUGAUGGUUUGCCGGUAACAUUAGUGCACCGUAGACGUAACUUGGUGAAGCGGAAGUAGUUGAUUUAUGAUAUUUUGGGAUAUUGGCCAGAAGAUAACAUGCUCAAUCACAAUCGUCUAAAUCUUACUUCUAUAUCCCGACGGUUGAGUACACCGUUGCCUGCAGAUGCUUCAGAUGUUAUGGUUCGUCAGUAUGCCCGCAUGUACAUCCUGAUUCUAUUGGAUGGAUUGUUAUUUGCUGAUUCAUGUCAGAAUCUCGUGAGUUUGAAUUGGUUAGACUAUGUCCGUGAUUUGGAUGCCAUGAGGCAAUACAGCUGGGGGGCUGCGACGUUGGCCUGUUUAUAUUCACGAAUGUGCCACGCAUCUUGUGUUGGAACAAUAACAACUGGAGGUCCGUACUUGUUACUACAACUUUGGGCGUGGGAGCGGAUUCCUGUGAUUCGACCUGAUGUACUCCCGUAUUCUGAAAUUGGGAAUUUUCCGAGAGGAGGAAGAUGGGCAGCCGAACGAACAGGGGUUGACCCUUCUAGUCAGUCUGGCAUGCAUUAUCGGGAGCAGUUAGCCUUAUUACGCAUGGAUCAGGUAUUUGUCUCUUAUAUCUAAAUAAAUUAUUUAUAAUAAUAAUAUCACAAAGAGCCGAUCCACAAUCUAAAUAACUGUUAUGAUAUCAGUUUAUUUGGAUGCCGUAUACCGAUGAUAUACUGGCACGACUAUCUGAUUACUGCAAACGGGGAGCGCACAUAUGGCGGGCAAGAGUCUCUCUUAUAUUCUGGUACAUCGUCGAAUUUCAUUUUCCUGAUCGUGUCAUGCGUCAAUUUGGGAUGAGGCAGGAAAUUCCGAAACCAGUUGACACUAAUCAGGGUGGUUUACACCAAUUGGAUCUUUCUGGUUAUCCGGGAAGAAAUUGGGCUGAUUUUCAUAAGGGCUGGAUAGCAUACUGGAAUGCGCGUGCAACUGCAGAGGUACCUGGUGUGCCCAUAGAUACAUUCAGGCCUUCCAAUAAGUAUCUCGAGUGGUAUCAUAAUCACACAAUUCUGUACAUUACGCCUCCUAUCCAGUAGCAUGUACAGUAUGGGCAAAUGUUGCAUGGAGUUUCUGGCCAGUUUGAGUAUUUGGUAAGUUAUUCCUAUAUACCAAUUUAAUUAAUUUACUAUUCAACAAUGAUUAAAAAGGAUUGUUGCCUUUUUUUGUAUAUGUCAGAUGGGUACUAUGCAGCACGUUGGCCAGCGAUCGCGUGAUGCACUACAGCUUGAGGACACUAACGGUCGCUUUCAUUCCCAUUAUGCAACCAUUGUUGAUCGAGCAUAUGGAUCAAUGCAAUACCUCCAGCGUUUUGAUCGCAUGGUUGUUGGUGAUUUUAAUUCUUUCAGUCAUAAUCCUCCUGUGUCGCAAGAAAUUCCACAGCCCAAUCGUGUGCGGCGUGUCCCUAUACAAGGUGGACCAUCAUCUAGUAGAAGUCGACGGCACAGGCAUGACUUGCAAGACGAAGUCAUCAGGGAGCAGACCAUUCAACACACCGAGGUGCCGGAUAUCAAUGCUAUGUCAACUACAUAGAAUAUAUCGGUUUUUAGCCCUCAAGUGACAUCUUUCCCGUACUCAUCGCAUAUUGGUCUAGAUGCCACGCCUUUGCCACAGUUUUUACCUUUUGGUGCACAUCCCACGCCCUCUUCAUAUUGUUCUGCCUUCGGUGGACAAUAUCCAUCCUCAUCGCACGAGCCUCUAGUUGGAGACACUACCACUGCAGCGGUGUCAUCUUCUUCUUCUGAACUACAUCCAAUAUUCAAUUUUCUUAGUGGAGUGGGUGGUACAUCUCCUAUUUCAGAGCUUCCUGAUUAUUAUAGUUUUGGACAGCCUAUGACCGUACCUACGUCGAUUCAGCCAGUAUGUGCUACUGGAUACGGUCAUUCGGGAGAUUUUGUCACGUAUCGCUCUCAGAACGAUUGUGAUAGCAGUACGACUGCAGACACGGUUGAGGAGGAGGACGCAAGACUUGAUGAAGCUUCCAUAGAUGUUGCCCCUCCAAUCGAUACACAACAGGAGCCAAUAGUUCUGCGGGAACGUUGCAGAUGACAACCCAAAAGAUUUUGCUGUCCGUCCACAACACCAGGUGAUAAAGGCAAGGGCAAAAGGCGCACCGGGCGUUGAUGUGAUCAUUUUCAGUACAUGUUUGUUAAAUAUCAAAUAUUAUAAUAUGGGGAUUUAGUGUUAUUUUAGCCUUUUAUUAUUUGAAUGCUUAUUGUUAUUUUUAUAUUUAACCAUUUCACCAUGUCACACUAUGCAUUUUUCUUUCUUUUUUUCGUCCUUUUUUCUUUUUAUAUUGCACAAUAAAUUUAUAUUUAUAAAAUUAUAGUGAACAUUUAAAAGUUACAUAAUAAUUCUAACAAAAUGAAUGGGAUAUUUUGUUUGAAAAACCUUUUCUUAGUUUAACAUCCUAUAAGAGUAAUUAGUGAUUUUUCACAAAUCUAUUUUCAUCUUUUUCUUACGUUUCAACUUUGAAAUGAAAAUUAAUUAACUUAAAAGACUAAAAGAUUUAGUACUUCAGGUCGACCUAGCUUUUUAUUAAGCUUUUUAUAUAAAUAUUUAUGUAUAUUUAUAAUAUACAUUUAUAUUAUGUAUAAUAUAUAAUAUAAUACAAUACAUUUAUAAUACAUUUAUACAUUUAUAUUAAUAUACAUAAUAAUAUUUUUACAUUUAUACAUAAUAUUAAUACAUGUAUACAUUUAUAUUAAUUAUACUAAUACAUUUCUACAUACUAGUAAUAUAUAUUUAUAAUAUAUUAAUUUAUACAUUUAUAUAAUAUUCAUUUAUAAUUUAUACAUUUUUAAUAAUAUACACUUAUACAUUUAAAUAUACAUUUAUAUUAUGUAUUAUAUAUAAUAUAAUACAUUUAUACAUUUAUAUUAAUAUACAUAAUAUUAAUUUUGCAUUUAUACAUAAUAUCAAUACAUAUAUACAUUUAUAUUAAUUAUAUAAAUACAUUUCUACAUAAUAUUAAUAUAUAUUUAUAAUAUAUCAAUUUAUACAUUUAUAAUAUUCAUUUAUAAUUUAUACAUUUAUAAUAAUAUACACUUAUAAUUUAUAAUAUAUUUAUAAUAUUCAUUUAUAAUUUAUAAUAAUAUACACUUAUACAUUUAUAAAUAUAUUUAGAUUUUGUAUUAUAUAUAAUAUAAUACAUUUAUAUAUUUUUAUAUGAAUAUAUAAAUAUUUAUUUAUAAAUAUCUAUAAAUGUAUUAUAAAUGCAUAUUUAUAUAAAAAUAUAAAAUUUAUAAUUUAUACAUUUAUAUAAUAUUCAUUUAUAAUUUAUACAUUUAUAAUAAUAUACAUCUAUACAUUUGUAAAUAUAAAUGUAUUAUAAAUGCAUAAAUGUAUAUUUAUAUAAAAAUAUAAAAAUUAUAAUAUUCUAAAAAUACUCAAAAAUAUGUUUCAAAAAUACCUCUAAAAAUAAUCCAAAAAAAUCUAUAGUAAAAGUUUUUCAUAUAGUUUUUAAAAAAUAACCCCAAAAACAACUAAUCCAAACGGACUUGUUUUUCAUAUUCAAAAUGCUACAAUUGUGUUUUUGAAAAACAAACCCAAAAACAGCUAAUCCAAACGGAGCCGUUGUUAGAAGCUAAAGUGAAAAAUGAUAUAUAUUCUAAGGAAAUUAAUUAUGAUUAACGCCUAUUUCUUAUGCUCAAUUUGUAACAGGUCCAAAUCAUCAAAAGUAGCAUCCUCCAGCCUGAUCAUCAAGAUUAAAAAAUUUCACUUUAAAAUUGCUCCUAAAUACUUAAUAAAUGCUUUUGAUACUUUUUCAUUGGUAUUAUUUUUUCAUUGUCCAAAAGUUGAGCCCCUUUUCAAAAAGUUACUCGACUCUCGCGGAUGUUAAGAGUUGCCUUGAACCAUUCAUAUUUCUCCCUUGCCACCCCAUGCUGUUCUUUCCCCUAUGGGUUCACCAAAAAACCCUAAGUGGUGAAUUUUGUUUCAACCCUAGCAAUUCUAAUGGAAAUGUUGCAGUCACGUACGCUAAGAAUUGAAAGAGUGAAUUUUGCUGACCGGUAUUUUUUUUUUUUUUUGGUUUUUAAGAAAAGUUGUCAGGUACCGGGCUGACACACAUUCUUUGGCAGAGCCCGGCACCCAUAGAUUUAUACAUCUCCCGUGUCAGAUCCGUAAGUGUUUGAAUUUUUUUUCCAACCAAUAAUCUAAGGAAUUAGCCAAAAUUCUCAAUCUAAUUGUCUCAAAAUAUUAACAAAAAAUUCUCAAUCAAUGAUCCUAACCUAACACCAAAAGCCUUCAACAUAUCAAUCACAUAGUGGCUCUGCUAUCAAUUUCAAAUUAAUCCCAAAUUCAAUAGAAACAUGAAUAACAAAAUUAGAUCUGACGAUGGCCAUUUGUCGGUGGUGUCAGUUGAAGGACGGAUGGAAGGAAAGGAAAAGGGAAGCAAAAAAAGAAAAAUUAACUGGCGGGCAAGGAGGAGAAAUCGAGGUCCAUUGCCUUCAUGUAAUUGGAGAGUGAAGACCCGCUUGGCUUGCUUGGAAUACUGAGAGACAGAGCCUCCUAAUCAACUGCGAUGGGGCCGAGACCUUCGAACGAUUGGUGAUGAAGAUACAGACAAAAGAGCCGAUUUUGGUGCCUAAGAAACUAAUGAUUCAGAGGACAAAAAGACUAAGCAAUCCAAGUCUCCAAAAAAAGUUGCUGCUUAUAUUUGGGUUCUUAAUUUUACAAAAUAACACAUGAAAAAGUCAUGAGUUUAGAUCAGCGGUGAUAGAGAUGCUGCUGAAAAUGAAGAUGGCGAGAUGGUGAUAGCGAGAUGAUGGCAGCAAUGAAAAGGUGGUGUUGGCUGGAUUGAUGGGACAAGGAAAAGAAAGGAAAAUCAAAGGGGAAAGGGAAAAUAGAAAAAUGUUCUGAAAAAAAGAAAGAAAUAAAAGCCCAGAAUGUUCUGACAUUUCCUUGAAGAAGAUGAUACUUCUUAUAAAAUUUCAAAUGAGCCCCUUAGUUCUACCUUUGUUUCAAAUGAAGGAAGAAAGUUUUUAAAACUUUAAUUGAGCCAUAAGUUAAACUUUGAUUUAGUUUGAAAAUAGGGUUAAUAUAGGAAAUUUACAUCUUUCCGUCAAUUUGGAUGAUUUCUGUCCAUUAUCCAAAGAAGUCCAAAGUAUAGGGAGGUUAUGUGUGGGUUUUUAAAUAAUGAGAAAGUUUUAUGUACAAUAAGUAAAUCGCAGGGGGGUUUUAUUUAUUUUACCCAAUUUUUAAACACAUCCAAUGACUGUGAUUUUUCUGAAAUAAAAUAUAUGUAACUAUAUCUUGAAAAAUCAUUUAUGAACGUUAUAAAAUAUAAUUGACCAUUCCAAACAGAUUUAGGAAAUGGUCCACAAAUAUCUGUAUGUAUAAGUUUUAAGACGUCUAAGGACUUAUUGGAUUCAAAUCUCAUCUUAUUGGUUUGUUUCCCCUUUAUACAACUAAUACAAUCAUUAAAUUUUUGUAAAAUUUAAGGGGUCGAAAAUUUCAUUUGACACAAGUUUUUUCAUUAUCUGUUUAGAGAUAUGUCCCAAUCUUUUGUGCCAUAAUGCAACCGAAUUUUCGUUGGUUAAUUUUCUUUUUAUUCCUCUAGUACUCAAAUGCAGAGAUUCAUUAAAUGAGACAAUUGUAUCAAUUAAAUAUAGAUUAUCGUAAUCCAUUAAAGAUCCAAAAUCAACUAAUUUUGAAUCAUGAAACAAUUUAAAUUUUUCAUUUCUAAAUGAACAAAAAUAACCAAAUUUCUCCAAAACAGAAAUAGAAAUCAAAUUCCGUCAAAAAGACGGUACAACAAAUGUCUCAUUGAAAUCCAAAUAAAGUCUGGUGUUUAACAAUAAUCUAAAAAUUUCAAUUGCCUCAACUUGAACUAUUUUGCCAUCGUCCACGUAGAUAUAUCUUUUAUUAUCAUUAGGCUUUCGACAAUUCAGACAACCCUACAUAGACACACUGAUGUGAAUUGUUGCACCAGAAUAUAAUCACCAUGUGUGUCUAGAUACCAAAUUAAAUUAACCUCAGAAUAAAUCAAAUUAAGAAGCAUACCAUUUUUAGUACGCCAAGCGUGAUAGUUGGUGCAAUGUUUCUUUUUAUGCUCUUCAACUCCACAGAAGAAACAAUUAUUCUUUCCCUGAUCAAUUGAUUUCUUUUGUUGUUUCUUUUGUGGUGCUGUACCUACAGCUUCUUUAUUUUUUUUCUCUUAAGUCCCUUACUUUUAUCAUUAGUGGUUGACACUAGAUGAGCACUUUCUGUUUGAUCUUACUUCAACAUUUUCUCUUCCUCCACACAGUGUGAGAUGAGUUCAUUUAAAGACCAAAUCUCGUUUUGACAGUUGUAGCUCACCUUAAACUGACUAAACUGUGUAGGAAGAGAUAUUAAAAUCAAAUGCACUAGUAAUUCUUCAUAGAGUUUCAAUUUAAGUGCAUUCAAUUUAGUAAGAUGAGACAUCUCCAUAAUGUACUCUCUAAUAUUACUUUUACCACUUUAUUUCAUUGAAACUAGGCAUGUCAAGAGCAUACUAACUUCAAUUUUUUUGUUCUUGACAAACCCUUUUUCAAUGUUUUGAAAGAAUUCUUUAGCGGUUACUGUCAUUUCUGACAUUGUUUAUUUGAAUACUUUUGGAACGGCCCCUUUUAAUGGUUAUCAAAUACAAGUGAUUCGAUCUCUCAUACCUGUCAUUAUUUCUCUUUUCAUCAGAGGUACUUUGAUCUAUAAGAGGUGGGAGAGAAUCAUCCCUUAACGCUACGUCAAGAUCCAUUAUUCCAAGUACUAUCAAGAGAUUUUUUUUCAGAACUUGAAAUUUGUAUCAUUCAACAUAGGAAUAUUAUUGAUAUUGGUAGUAAUAUUUGUAAGAUCAUUUGUAACUGAACAAAAAACAUAAAAUAAUUAAAACUACGCUCACAUAAAUCAAAUAAUAAUAAAUUCAAAUAAUGGUAACCCUAUCCCAAGAUACCGAUGUUUCAUUAAUAUUUUAUCUUUGGACAAAAAUAUUAAUUUCUAAGUGAUAUUUUGAUGCAGUAAUAAAUACUGACAAUAAUAACAUGUCAAAUAAUAAAUAUUCCUUUGGGUCAAUUUAUAAUUCACAUGUAAAAAAAAAUCAAGUAAUCAUCACGUAUUUAUUACUACAAGUGCACAUGCAAUUUUAUUAGAUAUUGAUCUUCUUUGGGCCGAUCAAUAUUCACAAAAUUGCAAGUACGCAACUAGUUUUAUUAUAAAAUAAAUUAAUUUUCACAAUAGAGGUCACUUUGGUGGCAUAUUGUUUCAAUUAAUUUAUUUCAAAAUAUAUAUAAUCAUAUCAAUAUUCAAAUUUAAAAUUACACAAAUCAAACAAAAUUUUUUUAUCAAAGUCAACUUUAGUCAACUCUUGUCAAAACGUGGUCAAACAUGGUCAAACCAGUCAAUUGGAUCAAGACUUAUUGGACUAAAAAUUCAUAUCCAUAAUUGAACCAAUUUUAUCAUUUAAGUCCCAAAAUUUCUUGAAGUCCAUAAUUACUUUAUGAAACUUUAUCUUUAGUGGGUCAAAUAUAUGAACUUUAUAGGAUUUAAAUGCCUCAUUAACUUCAUUAGGGUUCACUUAAAUUAAAAAAAUCCUAAUUUUCUUAACAUAAAUGUAGGCAGAUUAGCUUUAUUACCCAAGAAAAUAGGUCAAAGAAUUCAAGUAUAAUCAAAUUAAUUUUAUGGACAGACCAUUGAAACUCAGAAUGUUUUCUUGUCAAUUUUAAUCCUUUAAGUGGGGAAAAGCAUGAAUGACUUUCCGAUACUAGAAAACAAAUUAGCCUACAUCAUUAAAAGCAUGCGGAUCUCACAAAACAUUAUGCUAUCCGAUUAAGAGUUUCAAAGAAUUGCAUUCAUGCAUUCUUUCUUAUCAAUUUUGAUAUUUAAAAAUAGGAAAAUUAAAAGAAACCCCAUGUUUGCCAACUAAAGUUUGAUUAAAACAGGAUCUACUUAAAUUAUAUGAAACCAAAACAAUUAAUCAACGGACUGCAGCAAGUACGACCAGAGGUAUGAUGACCGAAACAUAUGACUAAAGAUUGAAACCAUGUAACAUGUAGGCCCUGCCAUGACUUUUGCAACAUAAUAAUUCUAUGGCCAGAACAUAAGUUAAAAAUCGGCCAACUCAAACUUGACUAAGGUGGGACCCACUGAAUUCCAUGUUAACCAAACAAUGAAUCAUGCAAUUCAUGAAUUGCCUACUAUCAUGAAAACUAGAUUAUAACAUAUGCAAACAAUCAUGAUGCUGUAAACCUGAAAGCCGAAACACAAGGCAAUAAAUUGUGAACGAAAAGGUCAACAAUCAUGGUUUCAACAAUUAGCCGAUUCUUCACAAAUAUCAUACAUAAUUAUUCUUAAAGAUAAAAAUUACUAAAUCCAAAUUAUUUUCUAAUAAUCAACCAUAUGGGGUCUGAUACCAGUUAUUAGGGUGGUUGUCUAAAUUUAACCUUUGGUGAAAACCAUCACUUAUUAAAUCCAAAAUUUAUAUGGCGAUUAUUAAGAAAUAAAUUAACAGGAAAAAUUGUAGAAACGUACCUUGAUUCAUGUUGACAAACUUGAUACUUCAAUCCCUAAAAAUUUUGGGUGGCCUUCUAAAUUAACACGUAUUUGCUAGUUCUUAAGAGAGCCCUUUAGUUUUUUUCUAAUAUCUUUCCUGACGAUGGAAUAUCAGGAAAGAGCUAUUUUGUCGGCACUAGAAAAUACGAUAAUAAGAAUAUGCGUGAUUCGAGGACCAUAACCCUAUUUAUAGAUAACAUUCAUGUUACCCAUUGGAUCCCUAUUUCAGCCCAUCAUAGAAAUAGGAAAUACCCUUAAGUCUCUACACAUUAAAGUCCCACAUCCUAUUAGAUACAUUAAAUCCAAACCAUUUUGAUCACUUUAAAGCUUGACCUCUUCAACAUCGAGUUCACAAAUGAACUUCCAUCUCUCAUCAGAUUUGGGGCUAGACAAUCACAAUCCCAUCCCAAGCAAAUGAAUGCCUGAAGGUGGGUCAAUUUGGUGGUGGAAGUGCAUCACCAAACUCGAAAAGCUGCUUUCAUUCUUGUUGAAUAACUGAACAUCAAUCUUUCCAAGGUUAGAAACUCAAUUUCCUCACAUUUGCUGCUGUUGAAAUUUUAAUUUUCUUUGCAUCUGUUGCUGCUGAAAAUUGGGAUUCACCAAACUUUACUCGUUGGUGUUUGGAUUCAUUAGUGUAGCCUUGCACCUCAAUUGUUUGUCAAUUUGCUUCAACGAAAUUUAUGCCAAAAUAGACAUCAGCUCUAUGUCCUUACUUGCCGAAAAUGGCGGCCUGUGGGCCAUCUGACAAGCUUCCGGACAGUGGGACUUCAAUUUUGAGGUCCUUUGCAUCAGUACUAGCAGAUGGUACGAAACAAACUGAUGCCUUAGCCUUGGGAGAGGUCUCAACCUUUAGAGGAGAGCCAGCCUUGCGCAUCUCUUGUAGGGAAAUAGAGCAGCUUUCUGUUCCGUUUCAGAACUCUUUGGUGGGGCGCUUCUCGUUCAGUAUACCACCCAUGGAAGUUAUUAGGAAAUUCUUUCUUUCGCUGGAUUUACGAGGUGACUAUAAGGUUGGGCUCCUUGACCAGAAAUAUGUUCUGAUCCAUUCGGUGUUGGAGGAAAACUACACUCGUCUUUUUGCACGUAGAAUCUGGUACGUUAGCAGCUCGCCAAUGUCAAUUUUCAAGUGGUCGCUAGAGUUCAAGGCAGGCCAGGAAUUAUUGAUAGCUCCAAUUUGGGUUUGUUUCCCAGAGUUGCCAAUCCCAUUUUUUUAGUAGACCCAAUUGUUCAAGCUUGCGUUUACUUUGAGAAGGCCUCUUAAGAUUGAUGCAUCAACUAGUGACAUGCAUCGUCUUUCUGUAGCCAGAGUUUUGUUGGAGCUUAACGUUGCAUCUAAUCCUGUGUGGCGUAUUUGGAUAGGUGAUGAGCACUUCGGGUUCUGGCAGCCUGUUGAGAUGGAAAUGUGGCCAUCUUACUGUGGGUUUUGCAGUAGGUUUGGCCAUGCAGAGGAGCAGUGCUUUCAUAAAAAUCCUUUCUUGCGAUCUGAUCCGUCAAUUCACGAAAUCCCUUUUAAAACAUAGAAACAACGCCAAAUCUAUGUUUCCAAAGUAGUGAAUGAGAAGGAGAAGGAGUUGGAGGUAACGACAGUCCAGAGCAAACAGGCCGCAGAUAUCAACAAGGAACAAGGAAUGUCUGCUGCUCAUGCUCAGACAAUUUCGCAGAUUGCCACUUUAGGGAAUAAUUCGCAGUUUGUUUUGGAUAGUAUUAAUCCUGAUGAUUUUCAAUCGAAUAUUGGGCAAAAUCAUAAGGGUAAGGAAAGGAUGUCUGAUGUUCAAUCUUUGGUUUUACCAAACCUGCAAAUGAAUAAGCCGUUGGUUAUACGGGAGCCUUAAGGGUCUGUUGUGGAUCAAAAUUUGAGUGGGGUUGUAUCUCGGAUAGGAAAAGCUACAAAGUCUGUUAUUGUCACAGAUCGAGUUGUGGUGCCGGAGCAUGGAACAGAUGUUGGGAUGCAAACUCCGACUUCAAAUCCACUUGAGGAUGGGGAAUUCACUGAUCCGGAGUCUGAGAAUGACCAUUCCAUUCAACCAACUAAUGGCGCAUUCACAGAGGCUGCAUUGGAAGAGAAGGCGAUGGAGGCUGGCGACUCCUCACAGCAAGGUAAUGGAAUUACGUCUGAUGUGGCAAACGGUGCGCUCGUGAAGGUAUAUCAAGUUCAUGACCGACAUGCUAUGGUGUCAGUUGGAGACACACCCCUUGUGGGUACAAGUACAAGUACAAGAACAGACACGAAAUCCUCUAUGCCUCAAAAUCCAUGGUUUAAAAAUGUGCCACAAUUUAAAGAUGUGUUCGAAGAGUUUAAAUGGGAGAAAUUACAAGGUAGGAUCCCCCUCGUAUAUCAAAAGCCUUUUCUUCAUUCAAAUACAACAUGCAAUGGUGACAAAAAUGAAAAAGAAGAAGAAGAUUCACAACACGAUAAAGAUAGAGACCAAGACCAGAAACUAGUUCAUGAGCAAUUUACCUAAGUAAUUUCAAAGAAAGCGAGGAAGCAGCUUUCAAAAAAAGGUAAAACAAUGCAAACACGUUAAAAUGUUAAAUCAAAUUCUCAUACUCACUCACAAUCCCACAAAUGUGGGGCACCAUCAUGUGGAUGAUUUCGUUCGAUUCAUCUGUUAUGUGUUUAGAUUCGCAAAUUUUUCCAUAUGUGUGUAUUAUUGUUGAUCCUUAGCUGUCCCUUUUACUUUAACAGAUGUCAGGUUUGGCCCCCCUCUAAUUCGUUGUACUCUUCUCGGAUAUAAAUAAAUUAAGGGAUGGAUCCCUAUUUAAAUAAAAAAAAUGAUAACUUUAAUUGGAUUUAACUUUAUUUGACAGCUUGCAUCACAUAAUUAUUCACAUGUAAGUCCAAUGUUGGAUUAAAGAUCCAACAACAGUAUCAAUUUAAAAGAUUUCAGCUUUUUUUUCUUUAAAAUAUUUAAAUCACAAAAACAACUAAAUGUCGCUUUAUUACACCAAAGCCAACUUAAAAUCAUAUAAGACUACACAAACAACAGCUCAAAUACACGUAAAAGAAACAUUAAACAUUCUAUAUGUAUUCAGAUGUAAGUAAUUUUCGUAACAAAUAAUCUUAAUUGAAAAAGUAUACUUAAUCGAUUAAUUUUAAUUAAUUAACGGGAUUACAAACACCCCUCCUUAUACCAUGAAAUCCAAUUCAAAAUUUUGGAUACCAAUAUUACCAAAAUAUCGGCUAUGCGGCCAAAAUCUAAUCACUAAUAUCCAAAUUACCAAAUAAAAGUUUCGACAGUAAUAAGAUGUUAGUCUUAUUAAAAAACAAAUAACAAGAAUUUGUUUCAACCAAAUUAUGGAUUACUAACCAAUAAACACCCAAAGAGGUAUACCUAGCACGUAGCAGGGGUUGGACACGGGCCUUGUGUUACUCUCAUCCAUGGAGAAGGAAGCGUUGCUUGCGCGUUCCAUAUAAUUCAUGUACAUACUUCACUUUCUACAACCGGCAACCUUUUAUCAUUCUGGUGCCAAAUAAGUCAAGAAAUUGAUGGAACAAAACCACUUUAGUUAAAGUUGGUCACUAGACAAUGUAUAGACGUAGACCUGUUACAAGUCAAGGAUAUAAACAGUUUUACAUGCAGUUAAAUUCAAAAGGUGUGUAAUAGUGCAUUCAUGUGACCUAAUGAUUGGUUAUAAUUUAGUUUAAGAAUACUGUGGAUAUGGCUAAUUGAAAAAAAAGGUAUCGAGAUGAUUAUCUACAACAAUGAAAAAAAUUAAUCUAAAGGAAGUUAAAUUAUGAAAAAAGAAAAACAUAUUGGUCCAUUUCGAUUGAAAAUUAUUUAAAAGAAUCUUUUUGUAUUAUAUAUAAUAAUAUAUUUUUAAUGUAAUAUAUAUGAGAUAAAAAUAUGAUUAGAAAAUGUGUUUAUCAAAUAAUAAAAGUUCUUAUAUAAUGGUAUUAAAAUUUUAACAUAGCUUGACGCAAAAAUUAUGGGUCUGUUUGGCAUCGAGUUUUUUGCCAUGUUUUUAAUAGAUAAGUUUUUUUGAUAAUUUUGGUUACAAUAACGCUCUAAAGCACCUCAAAAUUAUUAAUAUACUCACCUCAAUAUAUCUAAAAAAUACAUUUUCUUUCUUUCCCUUCUUUUCGUACUCCUCCCCCAUCUCAAUUCACCGCAGUCAGCUAGCACUCUAUCAACACCAACAUUGGAGCCCUUCCCCUUUUUUUCCCUCUUCUCCUCCUUCCUUUCCUUCUCCUUCUCUCCAUCCUCCCUCCUCCCUCCCCCCUUCCCUCUCCCUUUGGUCAUAAAACCAAACGGAGAGGGAGAGAGAGAAGCGAGAGAAGGAGGAAGCGGAGAAGGGGGAGAGGAGGAGUAGGAGAGGGAGGAGGAGAGGGGAGAGAAAUAAAAAAGGAGGGGUGAGGUAGUGGCGGCUACGGCCAGCAGUGGAGAGGGAGGAAGAAGAAGAAAGAGAAAAAAGAAAUAAAAAGAAGAAAAUUACAGCGAUCUUUAGAAAAUUAUUUAGAAGAAUCUUUUGGUAUUAUUUAUAAUAAUAUUUUUUGAUGUGAUGUAUAUGAGAUAAAAAUAUGAUUGAAAAAUGUGUUUAUCAAAUAAUAAGUGUUCCUAUCUAAUGGCAUUUCUAAAAUUUUGACAUAGCUUGACCAAAAAUUAUAAUUUACUACAAACAUAUCAUGCUUUUCUUAAAGUUGUGAUCCCAAGAAUCAGAGGUCUUGGGUUCUAAUCCCCCUACUCUCUUUUCACUUUGUAAAUCCUCUUAAAUCCCACUGCUUCCUUGUUUGAGAAAUUUUUUUUUAGAAAGGUAAUAUUAUUUACACUCCUAUUCCAUUAUUUGCACUCCUACUUCCCCAUUUUUCAUUUGAAUGAAACCAUAUUACUCUUUCCCAAAUUUCUUCUCCUAUCCUCAUUGGAUGGCCAAAUCUGGUAAAAUUAACUCAUAGGAAAGGAAGAGAAAUUAGGGCAAGAUAAUAUGGUCUCAGCUAAAUAAAAAAUAUAGGAUGAUAGAAGUGCAAAUAACAUAAUAGGAGCAUAAAUAACGUCACCCCCAAAAAAUCAUGCUUUUUAUUUUGCUUAUGUUUGUUUAAAGGACAAGUAAGCCUGUAACAAGAAUUGGUAAUAACGUGAACAAACCGGGGAAGAUGUUAGAAGAUGACUCUGGUUUUGUUGGAGGUCGGGCCAUCAUUGCAUGAAUCUUUUUUUUUUUUUGGAUAAAUACAGAAUUUCAUUGCAUGAAUCUUCACUUUUAACAAAAAACAUGUAACAGAUACAACUAAAGAAACAUGAAAAUCCAUUGAUAUAACAUAUUUGGAAAAUCAAUAAAGAUAAAAAGUAAUAUUGAAACUCCACAAUAUCAUCCAAAUGAAUCAUUCAAUCCAAUAGUUCUGUUUUUAUCAGAUCUAAGAGUUAUAUCUGACAAAAAGUUGCUUGUAGUCCAAAGAAAAGUUUAGGUUGAACAUUACAAGACCUUAGAAACUGGAUCUAGAUAAGUCUCAUAUCUUGCUAGAACAUAACCAAAAAAACAAAGGUCUGCUUUGAUAACCUAUUUUAGAAAAGCAAAUUUUGUUUAAAACAUCAUCUACCAUAACACUCUAAAAUACCUACAAGUUUUAGAAAUACACAAAACAAAUGUGCAUUAAAUAGGAUAUCAGUGCAAAGAUGGAUAGAGGUGAUAGGUGACGAAGUAUGCCGGUGGUGUGCUGCAGGUGGUAGGGGGAGGGGGAUGGUCAUUUUUUCUAAAACAAAUACAAUAAGUUACAUUAAAGUUUUACAAGGAAGUGAGAACUCAAUUUUUUUUUUUUUUGGUGAAAGUUAAGGGCUUUAGUGCAUACUGAUACUAAAGAUGUGAUAUUUUCUCGUCUUAUUUUUCGUCGAAUUUGUCUGAAGGUACCCCUCAAGCACUAACUAAGAGAGACCUUUUUUUUUGUGGUAAAAGUGAGGUUGAAUAGUUAAAAGUGCCUAAAUGCAAAUCAUGUAAAUUUGGUGUACUAACAAAUGGGCUAAAUCCUUUUUCGAUUUAAACUUUUACCUAGUUAUCUAAUUCCUCAAUGUUAAAUCAGUGUUUUUAGUAUUUAAGAAGAAAUUUGUGCAUAAAUUAAUACAAUUAUCCUAAAAUUUGAUACAAUUAUUUAUCCUAAAUUAAUGAGCCUUGAAUUGGUAUUCCACCAUAAAUAGUUACUUCGUAUUUUUCCGUACUAAAUGAGUGACAUACUUGUUUUAAAAAAUCGUUUUAAAUCUUUUCUUUAUAAAAUAUUGUUAUGAUCCAAACACGGAAUAAACAACUAUUGAGAUAUCAAGUGUAUAACAAUUUAAUGAGAAACAAGCCACAAGUAUGAAAGAUAAACGACACACAAUAUUUAACGUGAUUCGACUCCACCAUUGAGCCUACGUCCACGGAGAGAAACCUGUUCUUUAUUAUGAGAGGAAAAUCCUAUACAAGAAUACAACUUGAACCCAACCCCAAUCCUUGUAUACCAUUUUUCAUCUCUCAAGAACCCUCUCUUACACCCCAUGUAUAAGGCUACAUGAUGCCUCUUGUGUGUCUAUUGUGUAGUAUGCCAACUUACCUAUUUAUAGAGAACAUUACUGUCAAAAAAUCAAAUAACAAUUGGAAACCAAUAUUAUUUCCUAAACUCAUAUAGAGUAGAAAAUAGUAUCUAAUUUUAGCUAAAUAGGGCUUUACUUGACUACUAUUUCAAGUAACUAAAUCCAAUUAGGAAACUAGUUAUUUCCCACACCAAAUAGGAAUCUUGACUAACAGAAAUUAAGCUAAUUUCCUAACAAAUCUCCAGUUUGACGAAUAUUUCUUUUAGCAAACACAGCAAACUAUCCAAAAACUCCAUUUGCCUUUUCCCACCAAGUACCUUGGUGCCUAACUACACACCCGAAUCAAUACAGUCCUGACACCAAAUUGAUUCAAUCGGCAAAUGAACAUGUGUAGUUAUCCCGAGUCCAACCUUCAAUUGACUCGUGAGAAGGUGCCUCAAUUCACCAUCUCCCUUUGUAGGAUUUUUUUCUCACCACCACUUGCAAUCUGGGAUCCCCUUCUGUGAGUUCUAACCCUAACCAUUGAGGCAAUCAAGUGGUAAAGUCACCAUACUUCUUCCCAUCCUCAGGAUUGUCUCGUCACAUGUGGUUUUCAAGACUCCACCUAAAACGAAAAACUCGUACCUAUCAGAGUCUUCUGGCGCAUAGAAAUUAGAUCUCCUUGUUUCUUUGGGAUACGUGCCACACCACCCAAAAAAUAUAACCAAAAUCUAAAAUCCACUGGGACGAAGUAUCAACUGUUGGAAGUGUGAGAAAGUCUCCACCGAUUCACAAUCAAAAUCAACAUUGGAUUCCACCUUUUCCUUGACCCUUGAAUCACUUGCCUAGAUUCACCGUCAAACAUCUCCAUACUUUUCAACUUUUCAUCUUUCACCAUCAAUGCUUUUUGCCAAGCCAUUAAAACAAGGAUACUGCCCAUUAAAUUGUUCAAUUGGUGACAACUACCAAUCCACUUGAUUUCAAUAGUUAACUAGGAUCCAACCUUGAACAACCAAGCUCUUGAUCCAACCAAGCUCUGAUACCACUUAUUAGGGUAUCAGGCCAAUUAUUUGAAAAAGAAAAAACCAACAAUUUAAUGAAAACAAUAUCUAACACGAAUGAUGAACAACACACAAGAAUUAACGUGGUUCAGUUUAAUCACCAAACCUAAGUCCACGGAGAGAAAAACUUGUUCUUGCUAUGAGGACAAACACCACAAGAUUACAACUUGAUUCCCAAACCCUAACAAGUGGUAUCAGAGCCGAUGGUUCGGCUAGGCAGUGACUUCAGGAUAAAAAGCCACUGGGAGUGGUAAGGCGUGACUUGGAUAAUAGCGGGGAAAAAAAAUCAUGCAGACCUGCAAUGAGGCAAGGGCAUGUGGGCUCUUGAGCAAGAAUCAUGCACUUCAGAUUGAAGUGGGCUUGAUGGAGUGGUUGGGCUAGGGAGAGAGGUUCGAUGUGGAAGAGAUUCACAAUUGAGGGGGGGAUUGUUGGGAUAUCAAGUGUGAAUCAAUAUCCCACAUUGGAAAGAGAUGAGUAGAAUGAGGAACAUAUAAGUGGGAAUGAUCUAUAGAUCCAAUGCCUUAAGGUUUUGGGUUUGGAUGUGGUGUCAACCCCAUGGUUGUGGUUCCCAUUCUAACUCAUGAUUAAAUUCUCCCCAAGUUUGGCUCUCCCAGAGUCCAACAAAUAUUAAGUCUGGUGGAGGUAGAUAUUUCAUAUUUGUCUUGAAAAUUCAUUUUUAUUGGAAUACAUAUAGAUCGUAUGAGUCGAUAAAAUUGGAACAACAAAAAAAAUUAAAUGGCAAGGGAUGGUACACAUCAUUUUGUAAUCUUUUUUUUUUUAUCACUUUGUAAUCUAGUUCCAUGAUAAAAUUGGAAUGACAUAGAAGAUUAGAUGGUAUGGGAUGAUACGGAUGAUUUUGUAAUCUAGUUUCACGACAUUAUUAUGUCACAAAAAUUAUACACCACUUUCAGCAUUACGCUGUGCUUUUGCGGAUUCAUCAUAGUAAAAUUCAUGGAUAAGAUUUUCAACUAUAUGUCACGAAUUGAUUACGAAUUAACUCCACUUUGCCCUUUCAAAGUAAAAUCUUAAUUAAGUGUUUUUUAAACUCGAAUUGGAGUUUAACUCCACUUUGCACUCUUGAACUUGUAUCAUCUUCUCACCUUACACUUUGCAUCCUAAAUUCUUAAUUUUAGACACAUUGCAUCCUAAACUCUCAAUUUUGUCCUACUUAAGUCCAAUCAAUAAUUACGUUCGUAAAAUUAACGAGAUAAACGAGCAGUAAAAAUUAAUAACAAUAUAUUGUUUUGCUCCAACUAUGAUCCCUUAGCUUUUUUUUUAUACCAUUUUUAGCACAUUAUCAUUUAUUUAUAUGGUCUUAAUUACUAAUAUUAUUAGUAAAAUUAACAAGAUAAAAUAUAGUGUAAAUUAAUGAUGAUGUAUUAUUUUAUUUUUGCUAUGAUACCUUGGCACCUUUUGAUUAUUUUUGGCACAUUAUCAUUGAUUCAUUGGGUCCUCUAUGAUGUUAAUAUUGCAAAAAUUGCCAUUGAUUGUGCUUAAAUAGGACAACUUGAGAUUUUAGGGUGUAAAGUGUCCCAAAAUUGAGAGCUUUAGGAUGCAAAGUAUUCAAAAUUGAAGUUUUAGGUGCAAAGUGGAAAAAUGACACCAGUUCAGAAGUGCACAGCGGAGUUUGUCCUAAAAAUACAUAGUUGAAUUGGUAAAAUAAUACUUCUGAAAAUAUUAGUGACCUCUAGUGUACUUUAUUCUUCUCUCUUCUCAUAUUACAUUUCUCUCCGAGAAUGUAUCCUAUUUCUAUGUCAUUAACUUUUAUUUCUUUUUCGAACCUAUCUUACAAAUUACUCUGUCCAUAUAAAUUUUGAAAUUUUAAAUUGUAACAUAUCAAUGAUGUAGGAUUCUUUUACAUUUUAUUUAAUAAAUAUAAUUUUCGAAGCUCAAGCAGGCAAUACUUUAAAGAUCAUAAUGUAGAUUGAUGUAAUUAUGUGCAACAUGAAGUAAAGUUUUUUACAUCUAGUUGCAUAUUUUUAAUUGAUAAUUAUCAAUUAUAUUUAUGAUGCAUUUGUGACAUCAGAGGUAAAUUACUAUUAGUCUAAUGCUCGAGCCAAUGACCAUUAACCCAAGCAUUAUUCGUUUGGGUUUCAAAAUAUAGCCUGCAAACGAAAACUUUGAACUUAGCAACCAGAAAAAGAACCAAAGUCUUCGAAUUCAGACAUGUAUUAAAGUCCUAUUAACGAGGUUGGGCUUAUUUUUUGUUGGGCCAAAAAAAUAGUAGGUUGACCCUAAACUAAUCACUUAGGCUAAGAAGAACAAAAGCAAUUCUGCCAAUUAUACUACUCCUUUUGCAAAGUGCACCCUUAAACUAUCAAUUAUUAUUAGGGUCGUGACUUAUUCCUUAAACUAUCAAUUAUUUUAUUUUACUACCUUCUACUAACAUUUUAUCGUAGAUUCCUCCUCAAAAGAAGUUGAUAUGACAAUUUUGUCCUAAUUAAAAUUAAAAAAAAAACUACCCAAAUUUCUCACCUCUCUUCUUUUUUAUUACCUUAAAUCACAAUAACUUUCCUUCUUUUCUACUAAAAUUCCAUCACAGUUCUGUGACCACCACUGUAUCCAUUCAUUUCAUCCCUCAUAUUUGACUUUUCUUUUUUCAUGCUUUCCACCCUCUUUUACCUCUAGAAUAACACAAUUCCAAACCCCCUUUAUAUGGAUCUUUAUCCAUCUAUUCGUCAAUCAUCCAACUUUGCAAACCCAAUACAGUUCUUGUAGGGUUCUUUUUGUCCUUUCGGUUAAAAUUGCUUUUUAAACGAACUCAAUUGGAUUGAUGUGCCAAAGUAAUUGAUAAUAUAAGGUAGUAAAUUGUUACAAUUGAUAGUAUAGGGAGAAAGUUGGAAAUGAGCACAGUUUAGGGGUAUAGUUUGCAAUUGACCCUAAUAGAAAUUUUAAACACGUAGAACCUUUUCUUUGCAUUAUAAUACUUAGCUAUAUCACGUAUGGGGCAACUAAGUGAAAUGAAUGUUCCUAAUAUUUAAUUGAGCUUCUUUGAAGUCUAUCAACCUAGUUUUUUUUUCCCCCUCUUUUCGUUUUUUAGUUCGAGAGAGACUCCAAACCUUAAAAAUAAGAAAGAGAAAAACAGUAGAGUUUGAGAGUUGUUUUAAAAGUUUCAUGGUCAUCUACCUAACGUCUCAACCAAUUGAGUUGGGUCUAAAAUGGAGCCAGUAUUCUUGUCUAAAGGGCCAAUUAGACAAGUUUUGUCAAAUUUAGUAUCUUUUUUAACUUUUGGAAUCAAUAUAGUAAAAUUAUGGUUAUGGUUAUUUUGAAGGUCAAAAUUAACCGUACAUUCUACACAAGAUAGUAAUAAAAAGGGUAAAUGGCAGUAAACCUCCUUAACAUUUGGUUCCAAAAUCACUUUGCUUCCUAACAUUUAGUUUUGAGUACUUUGCCCCCUACACUAAUGGUCAAAACUAAUGGGAAGAUAAAGGAUGGAAAUGCCCUCAUACUAGCAGUUGUUAGAUUAAAAUAUCCAUAGGGAUGAGAUCCAAUUUUGCUUUUUUUUUUUUUUUUUUUUUGUAAAAAAUGACCAUGAAAAUGUUUGAAAAAAAUCUGUUUCAUCUCACUUGAUCCAAAAAAAAAAAGAAUUUUUAAAAUGAAAAGGACAUUAAACAAUAAAAAGAUUCGCACAUCUACCUCACUCUAAUACUUGAAAAAAUUAUAUGAUUUAAAAGUUUUUUAAAAAAAUCAAUUAAUUUUGUGAAGAAUAAUGUCAAUUAGUAACAUCGCCAAAAUUUGAAGUAACCAAUAUUUGGGACAUUUUUCGGGUAUCUAGCUAUUGAUUUGUUAAGCCAAAAUGACAUAGCAAUCCAUAUAUAGGACCCAGGCCUUUCUUUAUAAGAUUAAACCUUCCUACAUUAACAGUAUUAAUAAUUUAUAUAUUAUCAGUUUUAGAUGAAUGAUAAUUAUAUAAAAUUUUAAUUUGAAAUUCAUCUUCUUCUCUGAAAAAAUUCAAAGUGAGUCUGAAAUUCAACCUACAAGUGUUGUGGUAUAUUGUAUUUUGAUCGUUUUAGUGCAUAAUUCAAGGUUAAUUAGGUCUGUUACGAUGCCAUACCAACCAAUAAGAUUGGUUACAUACAGCCGAAUGAACCCAAAAAAAAAAAAAAUCCAAUGAAGGAAACUUGCUAAAGAAGAAGAAACCUGCACAUGUACAUACUCUUGGAAAUUGUGGCUUGUCUGUCAAUGUUCACUGCACGUACUCUUGAAAAUUGUGCACUGCCAAUUUCCUUCAGACGGCUAGCCAUUUUUUUGUUUUUAUUGCUUUUUCUUUUGGCCACUGCUGCCAAGGUCACGGCUUAUGACACUCAAUUACUCAUCAAUCGCCCAAUUGCAUUUGGUCCGCCUAAUAAUUGUAGGUUCACUUGCCUAAAAGUGCCUAAAAUGGCAUAUCUUCAAGGAGCUAAUGAGUGUCUGUGCCCACUUGGUAACAAUAAAUUUCUGAGAGAUCGAUGGCAGCUUAAAAGAGCAAGGCCUUUAAUAAACUUUUUCUACUGUUUCUAAUAAUUUCAGCCACCUCCUCUAAAGUUUCAAUAAUUACAAAAAUCUCCCUUACAAAGUAUGACUAGGUAACCGUUGAUGAUAUAAGUAGAAAAAAAGUCUAAUCAACACCCCGUAGGCUCAAUCUCAUUUCUUAAAAAAUUGAUGGGAUUUGAUGAUUACAUUAUUGGGAAUAUAAUUCAAUGCGGAUGAUGAAUUUGAUAUUUAGCAAAAAGAUAAUAAGCUGGUUACAUUUAACAAGAUAAGGAUGCGAUUGGGACUUGAAAGCUGCUCGUUGUAAAUGAAGAUCACUAGUGAGGGGUUUGUGUGUACAUGUGUGUGUGUGUAUAUAUAUAUAUAUAUAUAUAUAUAUAUAUAGCUAACUAAAAAGCAAAAGGUAGUUUAGGAGAAUCUUUAUAUUAUGCUUUAAGUUUUUUGUAAAAGCUGUUUAUAGAGAGAUCAAUAUUUUAUGAGGAGAUCAAGAUUUUAUGAAGGCUACAUAGUUUUUGCUUAAUACCAAGGGAGAUUAGUGUAGAUUUUCAAACUUCAAGGGAGAAGUGGUUGAAACUAUUUGAAAACCUGAGGGGAGAUUUUUGAAAUUGACCCAAUUUAAAAUCAUUCCAUAAAAUUAAGGGACAAUUUCAAGAACCUCUUAUUAGUUUUCUAACAAUGUCACUUACUACCCCUGAAGUUUAUAAAAUAUCACCUGCUUCCCAUAUUUUCAAAAUUUUCUAACGUUCUCAACCCAAUUCAAAUUAUAUGAUUAAAAUACUAUGUAUAGGAAAGAGAAAAUUAUUUCAAUCCAAAGUUGCUCUUUUGUUGUGGUUCCUUAGUUAUAAUGAUAAAUCAAUUUAAAAUCUCUUGACAUUUGAAAACUUGAUGAAUGUGUUCUUCAACGAAAAACUAUAAGUUUGAGAUUGAGAGAUCCUUUAACAAAUAUUAUUUAUAAUUGGAGUCAAAAUCUAAUAUUGACAAAUUAUAAAUAAUUAACAAAGCGUGUAAAAACUAUUUGUAAUAUUGUAAAGAUGAAGAAAAUAACUUUUUUCACCUUUGAAGCAUCUCCAAUAAGUUUUAAAUGUAAAUUUAAACAUUUUCUUCUUUUCUAAUUUUCAAGUCAUCGAUCUAGGCAAAUAAAAAUUUAAGAUUUUAAUUAGUUUAUAAAUUCUCUCAAAAUAUUUUACAUAAAAAGAAAGGUUUUCCUCAUUUGAUAAUCUAAGGGAACACAAUAAGCAUAUGGAUAAAUGAAAAUGGCAGAAUAUUGAACUUUUAAAAUCAUAGAUAACCCCCAAAUUGCAACACUUUUGCAAAAGAAAUCUAUACUUUUGCAAAACAAAAAUAAUAACAAUAAUAUCAUAUUUAUUUCUUUUUAUAUGACAUUAAAGUAUCAAAUAGACAAACAUUAAUGGAUAAAAAAUCCUUUUGUAAUUUGAAAACAUGUUAAAUAAAAUUUUAUCAUUUGCUUAUAAUUUAGAAAAGCAUAUUGUUCAUGGUUGCGGCAACUAUAUUUUGCCCCUUUAAAAAUAGCAUAUCUUCAUGCUUUUUGUCUUUAAUUUUAACAUUUGAUUUUUCAUGCUUACAAUUUUAAAAAAAAAAGUAAGGCAAUAAAAAGGCAUUGUUGGAAAGAAAUCAUUUUCUCUAGUGAGUAUUUUAAUGAUAUAAUUUGAAUUGGAUUGUAAAAAUUACAAAAAUUUUAAAAUAGGGAAGGCAAGUGAUAUUUUUAAAGCUUCAAGGGUGUUAAGUGAAACUAUUUUUUUUAAAAAAAAAGAAGGUAGAAAGCAUUUUAGGAUAUUCCUUUUUGUGUGCUUUUAGUGUUCUGUAAAAGCUCCUUAUGAGGAGAUCAACAUUUUAUGAAGUCUAUAUAGUCUUUGCAUAAUACUAAGGGAGAUUACUGUGGAUUUUCAAACUUCAAGGGAAGUGGUUGAAGCUGCUUGAAAACCUGUGGGGUGAUUGCUGAAAUUAUUCCAUCAUCCGAAGGGGCCCUAUAAUUUACAAAAAUUUUCUACAAUUUUGACAAUAAGUGAUAGUAAUAUUUUAUAUAAACAUCCAAUAAACCCAUCAUCCAAGCAGGCCUUAUAAUUUAGGACAAAUAAAUCAUGUAUUUCCUAAGAUUAAGGUCUCAAGAAUUAGAGGUUUUGAAUUUUAAUUCUUCUACCCCUCUCCGCUUCUUAAAUCUUAUUCUUCCCUGUUAGAAAAAAUUAAAAAUAAGUCAUGAUUUUUAUUUUGCUUCUGUUUGUUUAAAAGACAAAUAAUCCUAUUGCAAGAAUUGGUAACUAGUGUGAACAAACCGGCGAAGACGUUAGAAGAUGACUCUGGUUUUGUCAGAGGCCGGGUCUUCAUCUUUAUGUGGUCCAAUUGUGGAGACCAAUUAGUGUCUGACAUGGAUAAAUAGAGGUAGAAAAUCAAAUUAAAAGCCGUUGUACGUUUUUCCUCCAAAAAUUUUGUACGUUUUCGCGUGCACAUAUAUUUCGAUUAUUUUUUAUUUUACAUAUAUUAAAUUAUUACAUUAAUUUUUUUAAAAAACACUUUGGAAAAUAGCAAUGCAAACAAACUCUUUUUCUUCGGUUUAGAAAACCAAAAUAAAAAUGAUUUUCUUAUUCUUGACCUUGGAACUCUUUUGCGGCACUGAGCCUACAAUCUUUUGCACUCAAAAUAGAAAAGUUAGGAGAUGAAAAGGGUCUAUCUUGGAACGUUCCUUUUUUUUUUUUUUUUUUGCUUUCUUUUGGAUUAAAACAGAAUUUUAUUACAUGAAUAUACACUAAUAGCAAAAAACAUGUGAUAGAUACCUUUUUUCUUUUGUCUACACGAUAGUUUCUAUUUUAUAUCUACUUCUACUCUAUGCUAGGGGGAGAGGGUGGGCUCAAAUGAAUCAAAGAAGAAUUCGAAGGGGACUAAAACACAAUCGAAUCAGACGGGUACCUCUGUAAUCGCUGGUCAAACUUUUAGAAAAUCUUGGAGAUGAAUGUAUAUCAAGGGAUCAAAAUCCCUUGACCUGUAAAGCUCUCCUUGAUGACCUACUACCCAGUUAUAACAGAUACAAUUGAGGUAAACUUGCUAUGGAAGAAACCUAUAAUUGUCUUCACCUCAUUUAAUAUAAUCGGACAUAUGAAGCCACUCGGAUAUGGGGCACAAAUGGUCAUUAGAAGAACCGUUCAGGAGUAAUCUUCUCACAUCGCCAAACAAGAGGUCCAGCAAAUGUCACAUCACCAAGGAAUAACCAAAGCCAAAAUGAACUUGUUUCAAUUGGUUAGGCUAAUAAACAAAAAUAAAAGGGAUUGUUUACUCUAAUAGACUCCGUUAGAGCCAAAAGGGUUUUUCAAAAUUUCAAUUUUUGAAAUGAAUUUUUUGAUUUGGAUUGUGACUUUGAAAUGAAACGCGAGAAAAAUCACCUACCAUAAUAUUGAACAAAACACCAUUCUCUAUCUAGCUAGGAAAGGAAAAAAUUAGUAGAGAGAUAAACUUGUAUACAUUAAGUUUUGGGGGGGAAGAGGUGGGGAGAGAGGGAAUCUAUUGGAAGAAGAUGUGAGAGGAAAUUUGAACUGAAGAAGAAAGGUGCGCUUUGUCUCUCAUAUGUUAGAGGUGGAUUUCAGCUAUAGAAUCAUAAAGAAAAAAGCUACAAUAAUUUUGUACCACACAAUAUUUUGACCACCAAGCAUAUUGAGGGUGAUAUGAAAUAGAGAAGAUACCAAAUAUAGCUAUAUGUGUCUCCAAAAAAUUUGGUAAAGUGAACAGCGGUUUGAAACAAACCACAUACAGCAUGGUGGUCAAGCACAAUGCAGGAGUCCAAUGAAGAUAAUGACACUAACCUAUUUAUUGAAUUGUCGUUACUUGUAGGCUCAAAGAUAUACAAUUGUAAUAGACAAAAGAAAUCAUUUUGUAAAUUUUGUGCAUAAGGACCAUAUGAUAUAUGAUAAGCAAUUAUGUGAUGGCCAAUUAUUGUGUUUAUGUAUUUGUACAAAAAGUGAUGCAAUAGUUACACUAGUUUGGUAUGAGUGCACAUGUGUAAAUUUCAUUACUUGGUCAUCAACCUUUAGAGAGUAUGCACUACCAGAUAUGAUUUAUGAGUAAGUCAUAAGUUAUUAAGUAAGUACAUGGCAUGACAUACAUAAAGAACUAAGCGAUGUACUCGAUGACUGUCAAAGUGUGUAAUUUGUUACUCAUCGAUAAAGAACUAAGUGUACAUAUGGUGUAUGGCUGUGCAUAGUGUGUUUGUCACAAUGUACAUCUUGCUAGGUGAAAAUUACUGUGAGUAGUAUAGUGUAAAAUGGAGAGCAGUGAUAUGCACACCCUUGUACUAGUUGUAGGAGCCUCGAACUCGUGCAACAUCUUGGAUGGGAUUUGCUUUUGCAUGAUUUAGUGCUAAUUUACAUAAUUUACCUCAUGACCAUUGUGUUUUUAGAAGUAUAGACCUUGUGAAUUAAUCAUUGCAGUUUGUUAAUUUGUUAGUAUGAGUACAAUUAAGUUUUCAUCUUUGUCUUUCUUACAUAGUUUGUAUAGCACAAUAAAUGUAGUUAUGUGAGAUGGAUUCCAUUCUAGAAACUUUGGUAUAGUUGAUAUUUAUAUGUUUCUGUAAGUGUGCACAUUGUUAGUGGGUAUGGCUUAGUGUUAUAUGUUUUGUAUGUUGACGUAGUUAUAAAUUUAUAGAAGUUAGCCUAUUGCUUGAAUUUUUAUUUGGUUAUUGGUUCUUAAUUACUGUCAUGUAUAUGGCAUAUAAAGUGAUAAUGAAUUUACUACACUAUUGUUCGUUGGCUACAUGGAGUUCAUAUAGUUGUAUAAUUGGUGUUUGAUUAGCUAUGCCCUAUAUGUAAUUGAUAAUCCUAUAAAACCUUUUCGCACAACCUAUAUACUAAACAAGUCACAUUGUGAUAACUAAUGUACAUAUGGUGAUUUUCAAGAAUUGGAUUUGUGGAAAGAAGCAAGUGGACAAAAGAUGGAACUCCACAAUUAGGAAUGGAAUUUGAUACAGAAGAUAAUGUCUAUAAAUUUUACAACAAAUAUAGUUUUGUCAAGGGUGCAACAUAGUUUUCUUUACAAUCAUCAAAGGUACUUGUUAUGGCUGAUAAGUUGUUGUAAAUGAACCUUUUUCACUCACAAUAUUUUUGUUGCAUUUUGUGAAAAGUUUAGAAUCAAAAGCAAGCUAUACAGUCUCACUAUUAGUCCAAAUAACUUGUAAUUGUAACUUGUUGAAAAAGAUUUGAGUACCAUUCCUAUGCUUAUAUAGCACCCUCCUUUGUUAUGUUUAAUUGACAGUGAUUCGUUUAUUGUGUAGGCUAGUUUAUUACUGUCACUACUACUAGAAGACAGAGGAAUCGCAUCCAACCAGCCAUAAGAACAAUGUUAGCAUUGUAACAUCGGCCAAUAAAUUUUCAUGUAUACACUGCAGUUUACUUCAAUAAGUGGCAUGUAUAUAAAUAUUUAGUGAAUGUAUAAUCUGGUUGAAACAAUGUACACUGUGUAACCGACUAAGUAUGAUGCAUAGAAAUUGUUGAACAUGCUAUUAUUUGUCCACAUGCAUAUUGCUAUUAGUCAUCGCAGUCACAUGCAUAGUGCAAUGAUAUGCAUAUAUUUGGAAUGAUUAUUGGUGCUUUGACCCAUUUGUGCAUCUCCUUGCAGGAUGCAGUAGGUGUGUAAUUUUAUUUGUAUAGCUAAUACUAAUUUGCCUAUAAGCACAUUACACAGGGUGAUCUAUGAGAUACAAUCAAUUUACAAAAAUGUACAACAUCUUAGAUGUUAUUACUUGCUGUGUAUAUCUACAAAAGUAGUACAAUGGUGCACAUAAUUUUGGAAUGGUUGGCCCUUUAAUCAACUAUACAUCUCUUUAUAAUGGAUGUAUAAUUUUACUUGUAUAAGUAGUACUAGUGUGUUUGUGAGUAGAGCUGUUAAUCGAAUUGGGUAACUCGCAAGUUGAGCUCGACUCGGCUCGUUUACUGAGAGAAAUGAGCCGAGCUCGAGUUCAACUUUAGGCUCGUUUAAUAGACGAGUUGAGCUAUGCUCGAUUCAUUUAAACUCGAUAGGCUCGAAUAGUAGAGUUAUUAGCGUCAUUUCAUUGUGUAUUUGAUACUUUUACCUAAUUCAUUCUCCUGUUUCUAGCCCUAAUUUUUUCUUUCCUCUUUUGGUCUUGCCCUAAUGUUCAUCUCCCAAACGAGCUCGAGCUCAAUAAGCUUGGCUUGAUUUUGAACUCGAGUUCGAGUUUUCGAUCGAGUACAUCGAGUCGAUCUCGAACAGCUUGUGAAACUCGAAUUACUAAUCGAGCAAGGUUGAGCUAGUUCGAUUAGAGGUUCGAGUCGAGCUCGAUUAUCAUGUGCUCGAGCUCGACUCAGCUCUAUUUGUGAGCACCUUACACAGGAUAAUCUAUAAGGUACAAUAAGUUUACCAAAAUGUGCAUCAUGUUAGGCGUUAGUUACUUGACUAUGUAUAUUUGUAAAAAGGGGAUUAGAUAUAGCGCAGCAAAAAAUAAUUACGUGAGUUGGAAUGUAUUCUAGAAACUUUGGUAUAGUUGAUAUUAAUAUUUUUUUAUGGAGUGUACAUGUUGUUUGUAGGUAUAGAGUAGUGCUAUAUGUUAUGUAUGCUUACAUGGUCAUAAAUUUACAAAAGUUAAUCUAUUGUUUGAAUUUGUAAUUGGUUGUUAGUCCUUGCACACUAUCAUGUGCAUAAACAUAAUGUAAGAAUGAAUUUACUAUAUAGUUGUUCACUGGUUUCAUAGAGUUCAUACAGGCAUACAAAUUGGGGUUUGAUUACUAUGUCCUGUAUAUAAUUGUUAAUAUAUUAUAUCUUCUUCACCUUAUUUUGCAGCGUGUCAAGAGCAAAGACAGCUUCCUUUGACGAAUCAAUGGAUAUCAAUCAACACUGGUGCAACAAAGAAAUUAGAUUGGAUAAUUAGAUAGUUUCAUUGUGUCAGACUCAUAACACUCAUUAGAAUGUACCUAGUUCUUAAUGCAUUAUCAUAUGUUCAAUCCAUUUUAAAAUGUACAAAAGGCAAAAAGUUAAAUUGCUAAUUUUAGAUUCUGUUUAUUAGUAUUGUAAAUCUAGUUAGUAUUUAAGUAUUGUUUAAGUACUAUUUGUUGUUAAAUAAAGAUUUUUGUUUCACAAAUUGGUGGAAACUAGUUACAUUUGGUUAUUUAUAAGUUACAUACAUGCUGAUUGAACAAAAAUUUAACUAGUCAUCUAUCACUAUCUAUAUCUAUAUGUAUUGCUGAUGGGAUUUUUAGCAGAGACCCUCUCAAUGACUUCCAAACUUCUCAUUCUUUUUUCUAGAUUUUUGUAUUUAUUUUAAUACAUAAAAAGUAGUGGGUUAUAACCAACCCUAUCACCAAUCAAAUUUAAAAUUUAAAACAUUCCCACUAUCUACUUCAUAAACUGUUUAUAGUUUGUUAUUUAUACUUUAAAUCCUUUUUACUUCUUAAUUAAAGACAAAUGUUUAAGAAGUUUAUGCAAAUGAGAUAAAUACUAUAAAUUAAAGACAAAUCCUUUAAAUCGCAAUUAAAAUCCUUUAAAUCCUUUUUACUUCUAUACAAAUGAGAUAAAUACUAUAAAUUUUUAAUAAUAUACACAUUCUAUCAUAUUUCAAACUAUUGUUAGACAGAUAUUAUAUUUUAAUUGCGUUGGUACAAUUUUUUAAACUUUUUUAAUUCAUCCUUUUAUUUUCAUUUUUUUCAAUAAUGUCAUUCACACUUGUUAUGGAAGUAAUGGUUUUAGGUAAAAUUUUAGUUAUCAAUAUAUUAUAAUCUUAAAAAGUAGUAAUUACCCAUCAGCAAAUUUGUAACACCCAAUCAUAGUAUCACUUAUUUCCAUUUUUAUCAAACCUCAAACUAAAAAUCUUAGAAACAUGGUGAUGAUAUCAAUUUUGGCAUAUUUCUAUGAUUUAAUUCCUUUUUGAACAAAUAUCCUUGGGUUUAUUAGGUAUGAUACAUAUAAAAAUAACAUAUACAUAAAAAGAGAUGAUGUGUGAUUUAAAACAAAGAAGGGAUUCCUCAAAAAAAGAUGAAGAAUGAAGGAGCUUGUUAAGUUUAAAAAUAUAACAAAGUGCCUCUUUAUUAGAUAAUUUUAUUAUUUACAAAUAUUUCUAAAAAUUGAAGAAAAAAAUUAAUCAAACGUAUACUUUAGUUAUAACAAUAUGUACAACAAUUAUAAUAGAUAUAUAUAAUGCUUCAACCAAAUCUACAAAUUGAAAAAAAAUCUACGACGAUUACAAUGAUAUCUACAAGGAUUCUUACCUAUCGCUACACAAUAUUUUCUAUAAAUCGAAAUUGAAAAUUUACAAAUGUUGUGAUAAUAAAAAUAUGUAAAAGGAAGGUAAAAGAGUUAUACAAUAGUAGUAUUAGCUGAGUUUCACUUGCUCCAUUUCUUCUUCUCAAGUUGGUUUCUUCUUUUCCUUUCUAAUUAUAAAUGAUGGGAUUGGUUCUGCAAGUUCAGUGGUUCCCCCUAUUUAUAUUUCUUCCUUUUCACUUGGAUUCUUCUUUGUCCUUUUCCAUACCAUCUCGUCAGCCACUGCUCAUGCAAAUUGUAAAGGCUAUUUACUUUGUCCAUACCAUCUCUCUUUUAUCUACCUAAAACCUUGACUAUAUUGUUGAUCUGUUGUUGUUGUUGUUGACAAACACCCCUACAUAUCCCCUAGUAAAGCUCUUUCUACUAAUUGGUUUGAAAGUUUUUUUCUCUAUUUGCAAACAUUUGGCAUGCAAAAUUUUUCUUUACCCUCCUUCCUUGUGUAGCCCAUCAAUUAAUUUAACUCUACCAUUCAAAGGGUUUCCACGGAGACUACAAGUAAAGUAGAUGAAUACUAUUCACCAAAAAAUGAAAAUUAAAUAAUUGGUUUGCAACAUUUGGGAGUGUUUGGAUACUAAAAUUAUUCCAAAUAAUAUUUCGCUUGCAUCACAAACACAUUUCUCAACCUACCUUUUUAUAUUUUCAAUCACCUUUUUAUCUCACAUACAUCAUAUCACAAAAAGUGCUACAGUAAUUAUUCAAAAUAAUAUUUCAAAUAAUACACUAUCCAAAUAAAUGUUACCUGAAGGGUUUAUGUGGAUGCAAUUGGGUGUUUCUCUGUCUCAGAUCCCAUCACCUUCUAUUAUCAGAUCUUCAACACCUUUUCCUUCAGCAAGUAGUUCUUCCUUCUCCUUAGUGCAAUGAUUGACGGGUGAUAAUACAUUUUCAUGACUCUUCUCUGGCACUCCUCGUUUGCAACUUUUUUGUUUUUUUAAUGUUAUUUUGCCCUGAUUCUGAAGUUAUUGAGUUAUAUUAACAAUUUUUGGAUGAAAAGUAAGAGAUUAAUUUUUGGAAGGAGAAUUUUAGGCUUUGAGUUUUAAUGGACAGUCAUGCCCAAUCAAUUUGGACGAGAUUUUUUUGGAACGGUGUUUUGACGGUAGUGGAAUCUAUUCGGCUAAGGCAAUUUUUUUUUAAAAUUUUUUUUUCAUGUUCAUUAAGUAAAACGUGAGCAUUUUAUCUCUAUCAAUAUGGAUGCGGGGGAGACAAAAACUCAUGAAGGAACUACUCAGGACGGUCCUUUUGAUUACCGUCUCUGCCCCAUACCCCAAGCGACUGCAAGUCCCCAGAUUACCACAUUACCACUUUCGACCGCAAGCCCAUUGUCUCGUUAGGAUUUGUUCACUGCACAUACACUGUAUUUGAUAUACUGUUUUGGAAUUUGUGCAUUGCCAAUUUGCUUCUGACGGCUAGCCAGCACUUUUUAUUUCUUGUUUCUAUUCCUUUUUCUUUUUUGCCGCUGCUGCGAAGUUCACGGCUUACGACACGCUCAAAUUGCAUUCGGUCCACCUAAGAGCGCAUGUUCACUUGCCUAGGAUCGACUAAAAAGGCACAGCCUACAAAGUAUCUUUGCCCACUUGGUUACAAUAAUAUUUAUAAAUACAAGAAAUUUCUAAGAGAGCGAUGGAGCUUAAAAGGGAUAACUUCAUAAACUUUUUCUAAGGUUUUUGAAAAUUUCAAUCAGCUUCAAUCAAGUUUCAAUAAUUACAUUCCUCACUACCAAAGUAUAACUAGAUAGCAAUCAAUAAUGUAUGUGAAAAAAAAAUACAGCGAAUACUCCCAUAUGUUGGCUCCAUCUCGUUUCUUGAAACUAUAUAGUUAAUAAUUUAUAGAAAGAAAAGUACCCCUAUUUAAGGAAAAAUUGAUGAGAUUUGAUGACUGUAUUAUUGGGAAUAUAAUUCAAUUGUGGAGGAUGAAUAUGAUUGGGACUUGAAAGUUGCUCGUUGUAAGUGAAGAUCAGUAGUGAGGUGAGAUUAAGGGUGUUUCUAUGUAUAUAUGUAUGUAUAUAUAUAUAUAUAUAUACUAGAAAAACAAAAGGCAGUUUAGGAGGUUCUUUUUUUUUUUUUUUGUGCUUUUAGUUUUCUGUAAAAGCUCUUUAUGAGUAGAUCAAGAUUUCACGAGGGCUAUAUAGUCUUUGCAUAAUACUGAGGGAGAUUAGUCUAAAUCUUCAAACUUCAGGGGAUGUGGCUGUAACUAUUUGAAAACCUCAGAGGAGGUUUUAGAAAUUAUCCCAAUUUAAUAACAUCAUAUAAAAUUAAUACGUGGGGAAGAGAUUAGUUAACUCCGAUUUUGUCCACUUGCAUUUACGUGGGGAAAUGAUUCAUGUGGUGAGAGCACCGCGACAGCUUUCCUGUCUAUAAUAUGGACAAAAAAUUAAAAAAAAAACACUCUUGAAUGAUAUUAAAUUGCGAAACAAAUUUUAGAAUUUUCUACUUUUUUGAUAAAACAUCAUAAUAUCAUUAAAAUAUAUACUAAUAGCAAAAAUUACAUCGUCAAACAAACUCAGAUAUCAAAGAAUAUAUCCGAAGAAAGAAUACUAUAAAUCUGAAAAACAAUAAAAAGUACAUUAUAAAGGUCCAAAUUUAAAAAAAAAUGAGAUAAAUAAUUGUAGUUCCAUGGAUAUUUAUGCAUGCCUCCAAUUAUUAGAUCUGUUGAUUAACUGCUUCAAGUCCUGAUAUUAUGACAAGAUCUACCGAAUAUAUCUAAGAAAUUUCAGAUUUGAGAAUUAAAAUCUGAAAAAACUCAGAUCUAAUAAAAGAAAAAUAAAAAAAUUAUCAAAAACUCUCACUAGAAAUCUCUAGAAGAGAGUAAAACUCUCACUAAAAAAUUUAAGAGAAAAGGAAACUCUCGUUGGACAAUCAUAAGGAGAGGAAAAACUUUCACUAAAAAAUCUUCGAGGAGAUUUUAUUCACAUAAAUAAAAAGAAACUAUAGAGAAGGCUCCUUCCAUGGAGAAAGAUUACGAAGAUUUGAUUUCUCUCCCAUGGGAGAAUUAAAGGAAGUUUUAGUUGAAGAGUUUUUUCUACAGAGAAUAAUUUUCUCUGAUAAAUGGGGGGUUUUUUUUUUCAUCACUUAUUUUUUCGUCAAUUAUAAAUAUGGGGUCUAGUAUCUCAUUGUUUAGCCAACUUUUCUGAGAUUGUGUGUGUGUGUGUGUGUGAAAUUCACUUUCCUUGACACAUAUGCAUACUAUCAGCAUGGCCACCGGAAAUGGAAAUCACGAGGCACAACAAACAGAGGAAAACUUUGAGCAAUUUUAUGAGACAUGGAAGAAGCAGCAGAACCAGCAUCUUCAAGAACUCAUCACUGCAUCAGAACAAGUUUCUUCCCCAACACCGCCAACAGAGGGGAUCACGGCUUGUUCCUCCUCAUCACCACCACCACCAACAGACGGGAUCACGGCAACAAAUUUGAACAACUUGGUAAAACGUGUGGUCGAACACUAUGAAGAGUACUACAAAACCAAGUCAGAAUGGGCAGACAAAAACAUAUUGCAAAUAUUGUCACCCCCAUGGACGAGUUCUCUUGAGGAUGCAUUCCUUUGGAUUGGUGGAUGGAGACCCACUAUGGCUAUCCAUCUUCUCUACUCAAAAUCAAGUUUACAGUUCGAAUCCAAAUUCAAUGAUUGGAUGCAGGGAAAAUUGACUAAGCAUGAUCUUGGCGAUUUGACAGAGAGUCAAAUCAGUCUAAUUGACGAGCUGCAGAAGAAUACAAUCAUUGAGGAGAAGGAAAUAACUGGAAAGAUGGCCAAGCAGCAGGAGAAGGCGGCCGGUGCAGACAUGGUGGAGCUGAGUCAUUUGGUGAGUGAGGCACUGCGUGAAGAAGAAAAGGGAACGAAAGCAAGGGAUCACGAAGCUGAACAGAGCCAGGCUGAGUCAAGUCUGAGUCCCAAGGAGAAAGGGUUCAAGAAGAUCUUAGAAAAGGCCGAUAAUCUUAGGCUGAGAACCCUUAAGAGUAUAAUUGACGCAUUAUCUGCAACACAGGCUGUUCACUUCUUGAUUGCUGCUGCUGAACUUCACCUGAGGCUACACGAGUGGGGAAAAGCCAGGGAUGAAGGGCAACUCUCUGGCGGAGCUGGCCAUCCCAUUUUCCGACAAGAAGCCUGAAGAUUGUAUUUGUUUGUGUCGAUUUCUGAGAGGGAGGGGUUUUUAUUUUCUUGGCAGCUUAUAGUUGUUUAGGGCUUCAAGUUUAUAAAACUACCUUAAUUACCGUUGGUUUAAAUUGUAGUAGUAGACAGGCCAUAUCUUGGUUAAUAUUCCCAUUCCAGCUUUCUUAGUCUAGGUGGUCACCAAUGGUCACCAUAAACUUUCUGCCAUCUCGAAACUUGCGGAAAAUCAUAUGAGAAGAACCAAGUGAAAAGAAUACACAAACCACUCCCAACCAACCAAUACAAGUUUUACUCGAGACAGAGGCAUACAAAAAGAAAGCCCUGAGGAGGGUUUUCCUUCACGAGUCAAUACAACUACUUUUGGGGAGAGAGAAGUUUAGCAACUGCAACAGGCUGUGUGAUUAUAUAUUAAAGAAACAGUUCAAUAAAAUUACUAGCACGCAACCAACUUACACUAAUCUCUAUGAUAAACUAAAGUAACAAACCUGCUUCACUACAGGUAUUUAUUUAAAGGCAGCAGCAGAAGGGCAUGAUGACAGAUCCUCUUUUCUAAUGCCAACAGUUUGGCGAAUGCUGCCAAAAAGUAACUCCUUUUGUUCAUUAGGUGCACCACUUCUUU
rnacentral:lncRNA from 1 species